AUAUGCCAUCUUCUUUCUGCCAGGUCAAACUCCAACAUCUCCUGUGAAAAAAAAAAGGGUCUUCUUCCAUUUCCAGCAUCACCUUCACUAGAUGACCAUAACUCAUCCCAAACUUCUUCACCUCCAUUCGCGGACUCUCCACUGUCGAGUCAACUCGUUUCAUCUCAGUCACCGCCGCGGCUCAUCACCAACGACGACCGAGGAAACCUCGACUCUAUGUACCGCAUCAACGUCUCCCCCGAUCUCGAAACGGUGUCAGAGCCACACUGCAGAACCAGCAUAUCGGGUUUGAGAAUCGGCGUCUCGGCCGACACCAUUCAGACGGAUACGCAUUUGUGGUGCAAGGCGAACCAGACGUAGGAGGUGAGAGGAACCGCUGGAGACAAACGACACCAAAAUUCCUUUCCCAUCUUCCACUCCCUGGUUGUAGGUCUCGUCAUAGGAAACAAACGGCUGAGACUUAGUAAAUUGGGAGAGGAAGCAUGCUAGUUGUAGGUGUGAGAAGUUGCGGGAGAGACAUGGACGAAGGUGGGGGUGGGGGGGAGGGAGAGAGAAAGAGAGAGAGAGAGAGAGAGUCGAAGAGGUUAGGUUUUUUUUUGGAUUUGGGUUUCAAAGGGGGGCAGAGCAGAUGGAAAAUUUUAGGCAAAACGUUUUAUGUUUUUUCAGUUUUUUUAUUUUUUACUUUUUAAAUAUGUGGAGGUUGACUUGUAAUAAGAGAGGGCAUAUUAGGUAUUAAAAAUAGCUCAGCCCAAAGGGCAUGGAACCCAAAAUAUUUUGGGUUCAAUAUUGAAAAAUUAAAAAUGGUAAAAAUGAGUUUUGGUUUUCAUAAUAUUUAGUUAUCACCAUCCCAAAACCUAACUUUCCCAAUUUUCUCUUUCGUGCUUUCUGUUCACUUGCUCCGCAAUUUACGCAAAGACUCUCUUACCAUUGACUUUAUUACAAUUUCUACAAGAAAAUUCGAACUUCAAGACUAAGCAAAAAUCCUAGGAAUCAAGCUGGAAGCUACAAUGCUGUUUCAGGGAAGCACAUGAUAUACAAAUACAACCCUUAUAAGUUACAGCUUCGGCACUGACCAGGAGACUGUAAGUACUGGCCAUGGAUGCAGAAGAAGAAAGGCUAAGUAAAACCCACAUCCAUGGCCAAUUGGUAGAGAUAAACCACAAUCAGGAGAAACGAAUACGCCACGAAGAAACAAAGGCGCAGAAUCUGACAACUGGGUUUGCGGUCGUCCAAGCUUUAAUUCUCAACACAGGGGUGAUCAAUAAGCCAUCCAACAGAUGCGAACACUGGUGGGUGCCAUUCUCUCUCUCCUUAUCCGUCGGUGUGAUUUAUUUCAUCACCAUUUUUGAGGUGUUGAGGAAAUGGUACCUUCUGCUCUACCAUUUGGACGUCAACUACCUGGAGCAAGAACUUAUUCUACUGGAAAUGCAUGGGGGUGCUCCGUCCUGGCGAAAUGAUCAGCCAUUGAAGCCAGAUGUGGUGAAGCUCCUGAGGCGUAAAGCUUAUAUCACGAUACUGAUUUCUGCUAUGCUCGCCUUUCAAGCUCUGAUGCUCCACGCCUGCAGAUCCUUUCUUUGCAGCUGAAAGUAACCAUCUUCCCCUUUAAAUAAAUACUAGAAUAAAAAAAAAAAUUGUUGUUUAUUAUGCCAAAUUUCUCGAUGCCUUUGAAGAGUGUCAUGGGAAAGGCUAUUAAGAUGCAAACUACAUAAUUCAAAAUGCAUUAUAUGCAACGAAAUUAUUUACCAUGAAAUUUAUUUAUAUUGUUUUUCUUUCUAAAGUAUUCAAAAUGCAUGAUAUGCAAUCGAAAAAUUUGAGGGAAAAUAUUACAGAAAGAAAAUAGAGAGAAAAAGUAGAAUAAAAAAAUGAAAAAAAAUAAAAAAUAUAUUUAAAGUCAAUAAAUUAUUUUUAUAUUUUAUUUUAAACUCAUUUUAUUUAUUUUAACUCAUGAUAUAAAAUUAAAUAAUUUUAAAAUAUAUAAAAUUUUAAUUAAUUUUAAUUAUAUUUGAUUUGAGAAACUCAUUUUACUACACAUUUUUUUUUCCCUUUUUCAGUAGUUUUGGCAACCAAACAUUUACCUAAAAUUUUGUUAAUGCAUCUCCCUAGGUGUUUGUGCUCACAUAUUGGGCCCAAGAAUGGGUUCCUGCAACUACCAUCAGUGGGCUGGGCUGCCCAAUCAAUAACAAAAGGGCACUCACCUGGGUCUCAUGGGCCGAAAAAAAUGGAGCCCAUACACAACAGUUUUGAACCCAAACAUAAAUUUCAAGUUCAUAUAUACUUUUAAUCUCGUUUAUUCAUUCAUAUUAGAAAUCUAGAUUUAUAUUAAUUCAUUCAUGUAGAUCUAUAUAUUAGGAAUCAAAUUAGAGUGCAUAGAAACCAAAAUUAAGAGAGAGGAUUAUACCCAAGGAAGUUUUGUGUGAUACGUUGAACCGAAAGUGAUAAAAACUAAGGCUAUGUUUGGUUCCCGGAAAAUUUGAGGGAAAAUGCGAGGGAAAGAAAAUACAAAGGAAAAGUAGAAGGAAAGAAAAAGUGAAGGAAAAUAAAAAAAUAUAUAAAAAUUUGAUAAAUUAUUUUUUUUGUUACUUCAAACUCAUUUUAUUUAUUUUAACUCAUCAAUAUAAAGAUUAAAUAAUUUAAAAAUACAUAAGCUUUUAAUUAGUUUUAAUUAUAUUUGAUUUUCUUUGAUAUUUUUCAUAGGACAACCAAACAUGAGAAAAUCAUUUUCCUUAGCAUUUUUUUUCUUUCCUUUGUACUUUCCGGGAACCAAACAUAGCCUAAGACUAUGUUUAAUUCUCAAAAAGCAAUAAGGAAAGAAAAAAAAUGAAGGAAAAUUAUUUUUUCGUAUUUUAUUUUUCUAUGAAAACCUUGAAAGGAAAUAAAAUAUAAUUAAAAAUUUAUUAUAUAUUUUUAAAUUAUUAAUUUCCAUAUAAAAGAGGAACAAAAUGUCAGAUGAAUUUGAAGUAACAAAUAAAAAUAAUUUAUAAGUUUUAAAUUCAUUUUUUUAUUUUCCUUAAUUCCUUCUUUUACUUUUUCUUUCUAUUUUCUUUCCCUCACAUUUUCUCUUGGAUUUUCUAAGAACCAAACAUAAUAUAAAAAAUAUUUAAUAUAAAAAAACAAAUAAUAUAUAAAAAAACCCAAAUAAUUUGACAUGUGGUAUAUUGUUGCUAGUCAAAGUAAUGGUCGUGGGUGACUUUUAGAAGCCUCCAAUAAGAAAUGGCCAAAAAACCUAUGAGCUCGGCAUUUAUUUGAGUAUCUCGAGGACAAUAUUUUAUUUUUAAUUAUGUGUUUUAAUUCAUUGUUUUUUUUCUUUAAUAUUAUUUUAGAAAUAUGUUUAGAGAUAUGUUAAUUUUAGUGCUUAAAAAGAUUUUGAAAUAUAAAGAUUUUGAUAAUUAAAAAUUCGUUUAAAAAUGAUUUUAGGAAGCAUUUAACCUAUUUAAUCUUUAAAAUUUUUAUAAAAGAGUUGUUUUCAAGUGCUAAAAAAAUUAGAGACAUUUUAUAAAAUUACUAUUAAAUAAAUUCUAAAUAUAAUCGAGUCGUGUGACUAUAAAUUGCUAGACUUUUCCAUGUGAUUAAUCCUUGGAUACUUGGAAUUUGUUUAUGUGGGGUAGAGCUUUUGUGAGUUUGUUUGCAAUUUUCUCAUACUAGAAACAAAUGAAUGGUCAGAGAAAGGAACAUAGAAAAGAGAAGAUUGAAACACCUUCACCUGCUCCGAAGGUUCGUAUGAUCUUCAUGCCAGCCUCCAUGCCUCAUUUUCCCGCUUAUAAAAAAAGGCCACAAAAGACUUGACUGAUCUGAUAAAGCAGGGCCGGAAAAGCGAGCUCGACACGAAGAAACGAAAGCCGGCCAAUGCAGUCCGAGAGAUCACACAGCGAACUGUUCGAGUCUGGGCUUUUGUUUCUUCGUGUCGGUCUUGCUUCUGUCUCCGGCCGGAGGAACAAAAUUGUACAGACAUGGAUGGGAAGAACUCCUGUAAUAUCAAGAGUCCUUCUAUCUUUGGAUUGUUAUAAUAAUAUUAUCUUCAAAACAAAAUUUAUGCAAGUGGGGGUAUAUUUUUUAUUUUUUGUUUUUGAAAAUAGGAAGUUUUAUACAAAAUAUAAAAAAAUCUUAUAUGAAAGAUAGGUAUAAUAUUGUUAUGUUAUUUGAAAACAUUUUUUAAAAUUGACGGAAGUAAAAAAAUUUCAAUUCCAUAAAUUUUUAAAUUUUGAAAAAGUCUUUAAGAAGGGUAGGUAAGAGGAUGCUUGUUAAUGGUUAGAAAAUAGUUUUAUAUGUUUUAGAACAAAAGAAUAAUAAAAAAAAACAUGCUUAAUGAUUAGAAAACAGUUUAUACUCUUAAAAAACAAAAAAUCGGAGUGUUUUUAGAUAAUAUCUUUUAAUUUUUAAAAUUAUUUUUAUUUAUUGAAAAAUAAUCAUACAAAAUGCAGAAUGAUUAUGAGUAAAGUAUUACAUGUGAAACUUAUUUUUAAAAAAUAUUUAAAAACAUAAAAAAAAAGUUAAUAACAGUUCAAGUUUCCAAACAAACUAUUAUUUUACAAAAUAUUAUAUAAGAAUUUUAAAAAAUAGUUUUAAAAAAUACUUUUCGAACACAGUUUAAAUUUUUUUCUUUUUGUAUAAAAAUUCUUAUAUUUUGUAUAAGGGUUUUUAUUUUUAAAAAUAAAAAAAAUAAGAAAUAUAUUCAAAGAUAUUUAAUAAACAAUAAGAAUUCAAAAGAGAAAGCCUUAAAUUUUAUGUUAUUAUUGUAAAAUGAGAAUAAAUGUGACUCAAAUAAUAGUAGGGAUGACUAUGUAUUACUUUAAUAAUAUAUAUAUAUAUAGAGGGGGAGGGGGGAAGAAAUCAAAGAGAAGUGUUGAGAGAAUGAAAGAAAGAGAUAGAGAGAAUGAGAGGAAGAAAAUUUCUUUCUUUUUCUCGGGAUGCUCUUACAUGGGGUAUAAGAAGCCUUUUAUAGGAUUCAUAAUAUGAACUCCCAUUACUCAUCUUAAAGAUGAGUAAAUGGAGUUCAUAAAUGACCAUCAAUGUGGUCAUUUAUCACUUCAUUUACAACAUUCCCCCUUGGAUGACCACCUUAUUAAAAGAAUAUGUCUCAUUAAAACCUUGCUAGUAAAAAAUUUUAUAGGAAAAACCUAGCGAAGGAAAAAGAGUAUAAUAUUCUUUUCUUGGUAUAUUAGGACUGCCUCGUUAAAAACCUUGCCAAUAAAACCCAGUAGGACAAAACCUGGACGAAUGAAAAAAGAGUACAGUAUACUAACACCCUUUUACAAGCAUACUCCCUCUCAUGUCGAUAUCCUUGAGUUGACGCAUUCCAAUCAUAUAUAUUAAUUUCUUGAAUGUUGAGGUUGACAAUGAUUUUGUGAAUAAAUCUGCUAGAUUAUCACUUGAGCGUAUUUGUUGCACAUCAAUUUCACCACUCUUCUAGAGUUCAUGUGUACAAAAGAAUUUUGGUGAAAUGUGUUUAGUUCUAUCUCUUUUAAUAUAACCCCCUAUUAUUUGUGUAAUGCAUGUAGCAUUAUCUUCAAAUAAUAUUGUCGGGUCACCUUUGAUAGAGGAGAGUCCACAUGAUUCCCGAAUAUGCUGGACCAUAGAUCUUAGCCUUAUACAUUGAUGACUUGCUUCAUGAAUUGCCAGUAUUUCUGAAUGAUUUGAUGAUGUGGUCACCAUUAUUUGUUUGACAUCUUUCCAUGAAAUAGUAGUACCAUUGCAAUUAAACACAUACCCUAUUUGUGACCUACCUUUAUGUGGAUCUGAAAGAUAUCCUGCAUCUGCAUAUCCAAGCAAUUGUUGCUUUGAUUCCGUUGAGUAAAAUAAACCCAUAUCAAUAGUUCCGCAAAGAUAACAUAAUAUAUGUUUGAUACCAUUUCAAUGUCUUCGAGUUGGAGUGGAACUGUAUCUUGCUAAUAAAUUGACAGAAAAAGCAAUGUCUGGACGUGUACAAUUGGCAAGAUACAUAAGUGCACCAAUAGUACUAAGAUAUGGUACUUCAGGACCAAGUAACUCUUCAUUUUUUUCGCAAGGACGAAAUGAGUCAUUUUUCACAUCAAGUGAUCGGACAACCAUUGGAGAACUUAAAUGAUGCGCUCUAUUCAUAUAAAAGCGCUUCAAAAAUUUCUUAAUGUAUGUUGAUUGAUGUACUAAAACUCAAUUUGGAAAAUGCUCGAUCUGCAGGCCGAGAUAAAAUUUUGUUUUUCCAAGAUCUUUCAUCUCAAAUUCCUUUUUCAAGUAAUUUGUUGUUCUUGUGAGUUCUUCAGGAGUUCCAACAAGAUUUAAGUCAUCGACAUACACUGUAAUAAUUGCAAAUCCGAUUUCUGAUUUCUUAAUGAAGAUGCAUGGGCAUGUAGGGUUAUUCACAUAUCUUUUUUUUUAGCAAAUAUUCGCUAAGACGAUUGUACCACAUGCGUCCAAAUUGCUUUAAUCCAUACAAGGAUCGUUGUAACUUGAUUUAGUACAUGCUAUGAGACUUUGUACUAUUUUCUCCAGGCAAUUUAAAUCCUUUAGGGAUUUUCAUGUAUAUAUCAUUAUCCAUGGAUUCGUAUAAAUAUGCUGUAAUAACAUCCAUGAGAUGCAUAUCCAAUCCUUCUGAGACUGCCAAACUAAUUAAGAAACGAAAUGUGAUUGCAUCCAUGACAGGAGAAUAUGUUUUCUCGUAGUCAAUACUAGGUCUCUACGAGAAACCUUGUGCUACUAAUCGCGCUUUAUAUUUUAUGAUAUCAUUAUUCUCAUUGCGCUUUCGUACAAAUACCCAUUUGUACCCAAUAGGCUUUACAUCCUCAGGUGUUUGGACUACAGGUCCAAAAACUUCUCGUUUUGUUAACGAGUUUAACUCUGCUUGUAUAGUUUCUUUCCAUUUUAGCCAAUCAUUUCUAUGUCGACAUUCUUCCAUAUUUCGUAGUUCGGGAUUUUCAUCAUUUCUUAUGACUUCAUAGGCCACUUGGAAAGCAAAAAUAUUGUUAAUAACAAUAUUAUUUUGAUCCCAUUUUUCUCCCGUGUGUACAUAACUUACUAAGAUCUCACAAUUUUCAGGUACCUAUGCCUCUUUAGGGGCUUCUCGUUCAAUAUGUGGCUCUUCAUGGGCUUCUUGUUCAAUAUGUACCUCUUCAGGGGCUUUCUGUAUUAUUUAUGCCUCUUCUAGGGUUAUAAAUUUAUCAAUUUUAAAUUGAUCAGUCAUUUUGAUGACCUCUUCUAGAGUGCCAAGUUUUUCUUGGGUUCUCAUUUCUGGGAAGAUACAUUCUUUGAGCCAACAAGUUUACCACAUUUCAGGCGUAUCUUAGAUUCAUUUGUUAACUGUCCUACAGGGACAUCGAUCUGUGCUGAGUAUUUGCAGCCGGGAUAUAUGACUUUGUCACUUUCUUUGUAUUAAUGAAUGCAUAUGGUAAUUGAUUUGCAAGAUUUUGCAAAUGAAUGAUCCUUUGGAAGAUGGGUCAUAGUAGAUGCCUUCCAACUAAUUUCUCAUCGUUCUUUAGAAAUUGACUUUUCUCCCCUCUAAUGACUGGAAAACACUCUCAUUAAAAUGACAAUCCGCAAAGCGGGCAGUAAAAACAUCACCUGUUAAAGGUUCAAGAUAUCUUAUGAUAGAUGGAGAAUCAAAACCUACAUAAAUCCCAAGUCUUCGUUGGGAACCCAUUUUAGUGCGUUGUGUAGGUGCAAUUAGUACAUAAACUGCACAACCAAAGAUUUGUAAGUGAGAGAUAUUUGGUUGUUUUCCAAGCACAAGUUGUGAAGGGGAGUAUUCAUGGUAAGUUGUAGGUCAAAUACGGAUUAAAGCUGCAGCAUGCAUAAUAGCAUGUCCCUAGGCAGAAGUAGGUAAUUUGGUUCUCAUUAGUAAUGGUCGAGCUAUUAAUUGGAGAUGUUUGAUGAAGGAUUCUGCUAAACCAUUUUGGGUAUGAGUAUGAGCAACAAGAUGCUCAAUAUUUAUCCUUAUUGACAUGCAAUAGUCAAUGAAUGUUUGAGAAGUAAAUUCGCCAGCAUUAUCAAGACGUAUUGUCUUAAUUGGAUAAUCUAGAAAUUGUGCUCGUAAUCUGAUUAUUUGUGCAAGGAGUCUAGCAAAGGCAACGUUACGUGUAGAAAGGAGACAAACAUGUGACCACCUAGUAGAAGCAUAUAUUAAGAUCAUAAAAUAACGGAAUGGUCCACAUGGUGGAUGGAUAGACCCACAUAUGUCCCUAUGUAUUCUUUCUAAAAAGACUGGUGACUCAGAUUGACUUUAGUAAAAGAUGGUCUCAUUAUCAAUUUACCUUGUGAGCAGGCAACACAUGAGUAUUCAUUGGGUGAAAGAAUCUUCUAGUUCUUUAGUGGAUGUGCAUGUGAGUGUUCGAUUAUUCGACGCAUCAUUGAAGACCCUGGGUGACCUAGCCUGUCAUGCCAAAGGACAAAAACUUUUGGGUCGUUGAACUUCUGGUUCACGACAACAUAUGAUUCAAUAGGCUUUAUAGUUGUAUGAUACAACCCAGAUGAGAAAUUCGAGAGUUUUUCCAUUAUAAGCUUCUGGCCAGAUAUAAUGGAAGUAAUGUAAAUAUAUUCUAUAUUAUCUUCAUUCAUAGUUUCAAUAUGAUAUCCAUUUUUGCGGAUAUCUUUAAAACUGAGCAAAUUUCUUCUGGAUUUGCUAGAAUAUAAAGCGUCAUUUAUAUGGAAUCUAGUUCCAUUUGGCAACGUUAUGUUUGCUCUUCCAGAACCUUCAACUAAGUUUGUAGUACCAGAUAUGGUACUUACAUUAGCUUUUAUUAAUGUCAAUUCAAGAAAAUAUCUUUUAUCUAGAAGAAUUGUAUGCGUGGUCGCACAGUCUACGAGACAUACAUCAUCCUCAUUCAUCUUGAGACCAAAUAACACAUGGAUUUCAGAUAUAACAAAAUAAAACAAGGCAUAAUGUAAAUAACAAAGUAAAUCAGAUGUAAAUAUAAGACAUAAUAAUAUAUUAUUUCAUAUAUAAAGUAACAUCAAUCAAUGUUAAUUUUCUCAUCAUUUAUCAAAUGGUCUGUUUUUUCAUUGGGACCUCCAAAGAAAUCAAUGUUAUAGUAGGUUAGGUCUAAUCCAUCACCAUCGGUAAAGUUCAUCUCUAUCUCUUUUCUUUUUGCUUUUAUUGAUGCUUGGUAAAGGUCGACUAAAUGUUUGGGCAUACGACAGGUACGCGACCAAUGCCCCUUCAUACCACAUCUAUAACAAUUAUUCUCGUGGUUCUUAGGAGGUUUAUCUUGUAAAUACUUCCCAUUUUAUUGUAUUGUCUCAGUAUUGUUCCAUUUCUGGUGGUGCAAUGAGGCUUUCAUUUUCUGAGAAUUAUUACUAUAAGAACCAUGGUAUCGGGGAUUUCUUCCACGAUCACGACCACGUCCACGAGUUUGGGACGAUAUUGCAUUGUUCAGAUCUAGUUGGACGAGAUUGGUGAUUUCUCAUCAAAAUCUCAUUAUUUUGUUUAGCAACAAGAAGACAUGAUAUUAAUUCAGAAUAUUUUGUAAAUCUACGCUCUCGUUAUUGCUGCUACAAGAGCACAUUCGAGGUAUGAAACGUAGUAAAAGUUUUCUCUAACAUGUCUUCUUCUGUGAUUUUUUCUCCACACAGCUUUAAUUGAGAGUUGAUUUUGAAAAGUGCGGAGUUGUAUUCACUAACAGUUUUAAAAUCUUGCAACCUUAGGUGCAUUCAAUCAUAUCGAGCUUUUGGGAGAAUCACAGUUUUCUGGUGGUCAUAUAUUUCCUUCAAAUUACUCCAUAGAGUAAAAAAGUCCUUUACCAUAAGAUACUCAUUUUUUAAAGCUUCAUGGAAGUGAUGGCGAAGGAAAAUCAAUGCUUUUGCGCGAUUCUGCAGGGAUGCUUGAUUUCUUUCUUUGAUUGUAGCUCCAAGGUUCAUUGCAUCAAGAUGUAAUUCAGCAUCAAGGAUCCAAGAUGGAUAGUUCUUUCCCAAAAUGUCAAGUGCCACAAAUUCGAGUUUUGUGAUAGUCGACAUUGUCAAAUAACUUCAUAUAUAUGACAAAACAAUAUUAUUAGAAUCAAUUAUAAUAACUUGAUAGCAUUGGUAUAACUUUGAUUAUAAACAAAAUCAAAUAAUUUGUUUAUAACUUUUAACAAUAUGUAACAAAACAAAUCAACAAUAAUAUAACUAUGUAAAAUUUUAUCCUAUAUAAAUAACUUCAGGUUUAAGAUACGAGAAUUACCUUCAAAGCAAUUCGUGCUGAUAACGUGUUGUAAAAGGAGAAUAAAUGUGACUCAAAUAAUAGUAGGGAUGACUAUGUAUUACUUUAAUAAUAUAUAUAUAUAUAUAUAUAGAGGGAGGAGGAGGAGGAGGAGGAGGAGGAGGGGGGAGGGGGGGGGGGGGGGACCAAAACAAAAAAAAAUGUUGGGAAAAUGAAAAAAAAAAAGAGAAAGAAUGGGAGGAAAAAAAUUUUUUUUUUUUUUUCAGGAUGCUCUAACAUGGGGGGGAAAAAGCCUUUUAUAGGUUUUCUAAUAAGAACUCCCCUUACUCCUCUUAAAAAUGAGUAAAUGGAGUUCAUAAAAGACCCUCAAUGUGGUCCUUCCUCACUUCCUUUUCAACAAUUAUUAAUUUUUUGUAUUACUUAAAAGGGNNNNNNNNNNNNNNNNNNNNNNNNNNNNNNNNNNNNNNNNNNNNNNNNNNNNNNNNNNNNNNNNNNNNNNNNNNNNNNNNNNNNNNNNNNNNNNNNNNNNGGGAGGGGGGGGGGGGGGGACGAAAUCAAAGAGAAGUGUUGAGAAAAUGAAAGAAAAAGAGAGAGAGAAUGAGAGGAAGAAAAUUUCUUUCUUUUUCUCAGGAUGCUCUAACAUGGGGUGUAAGAAGCCUUUUAUAGGUUUCAUAAUAUGAACUCCCAUUACUCAUCUUAAAGAUGAGUAAAUGGAGUUCAUAAAUGACCAUCAAUGUGGUCAUUCAUCACUUCAUUUACAACAGUUAUUAAUUUGUUGUAUUACUUAGAGGGGGUGAAUGAAUUGAAAGCACUAUGGAGGUAAGCUUUUUAGUCUUUUCACCUUAUCCUUUUUAUACAUAAUGUCUCCAUCAAUGAUGUUCAGUAUAUUCCUUAUUUUUGUUUUACUCAAGUGUUCCUGUAUUGUAGCCCUCUCAAGACUCUUCCUCUUCACUCCAAACAAGUUAAUUGUCUUCAUAUCAAAGUAACAUAAGUUGAUUUUCUUAGAGGGCUAAUGCUACUUAUGUGAUUAUUUCUUUUACAAAAGUUGCAAAUAGUACUAUUUGAGGAUUCCUUGACAAAAUAAUUUUUAAAUUUUAAUUUUUUUAUUUUUUAUUUUUAUAGAGCUUGUAUCCUAAUCCCUUUAUGCCAAAGAUUAUUUUUUUACUUGCCAAAAUUAUCAAAAUUCUUGUCCCCAUUUGAGAAUUUUGAAAGAGAAGAGAUUAACUAAUGAAUUUUCUUUUCAAGUAAGUAUAUAUUUUAUUCCAAGGAAAACCUUAGCCUUUUUCAGAUAUUUUAAACUCCCAUUUUAAGUUAUUAAUUUCAACUUGAAGAGAGAUGAUUUUCUUUUUAAGAUAAGCCUGAAAGUUAUUUGAUCUAGUUUAGGUAACACCUAGAGGAGUUGAAUGGGUGUUUAAAAUUUUCUGCUUAAAAAUGAAUUAUUUUAUAAUCAUAUAACAAACAUUUUUUCAAUUUAGGAAAGCCUAAAAACACUCAAUACAAAAACAUAAGAUUUUUAUAUGGAAAACCACCCAUAUCAUGUGCGGAUGUAAAAACGACAAAGUCAGACUUUUAAUCAUUAAUUAACUAUUUGAAAGUAUUAUACAUGGUUUUAGUUGGUGGAAGCUAUCGUUAAGUCUUAUUACCCAACACCUACAAUGCACUUCACAUUUGCGAUAUAGCACUACAUGUGCUCUUAGUGGAUCUAACCUCAGUGCUUGAGAGGAUGUAGAUCUCCUUUUCAAUCCAACAUAAGCGAAAACAACAUUCCUUAAGAGUUUUAGGAAUAAGAUGACGAAUUUGGUUUUUCAAAAAAUUUGCAUCAAACCAAAAACCUUUUUAGGUAAAACAUUUAUAGGCAUAAGAAGCUAGCGGACUGGAUCUACAAUUUUCCAAAAUAAGACCUUAAAAAAAUUUAGAAAAUCAAAGUUCCAAAAACUUUGGAGAAUUCUAUCAUGGGUGUUUGAGUGCUCAUGGGAGCACUUGAGUGCUUAUGGAGAUUUUUUAAACUUUUUAAAAAUUCUUUUAGCUCAGUUUUAAAACCCUUAGUUCGCACUAUGCCUUAACAAACACCAAUUUGUCAUUCUUGAACCUUUUGAUUUUUAGUUGUGCCAUCUCGAUUGAUCACAUAACAACUUUGAGUCUUCAAUGAAGAGUAAAACACAAUUAGAAAGAUUCUAAACUAGAAUGAAAGGAACAAAAUUGUUGAUCUUAAAUUAUAUAGCCUAAUAUACCAACAAUCUCCUAUGAUAAUUUUAUGAAAAAAAAUACAAAUUACAUAAACCCCCUAAUACUCUUUAAUGGAGUUUAAGAAUUUCUCAAUAACUCUCGUCUAAACCAAAUCAUUCUUGAACAUACAGAUGAUGAUAAAUCACAUCUAAAAGUGGGCAAUACCCCACUACUUGUGACCUGCACACACAAACCAACCAAGUACCCAAGUAAAACAAUGUGUGAGAGAAAACACAACUCAAAUUCUAUCAAAUCAAGGUAAGAGUAGAUGGAUGUGAGUCAUGCAUACAAUGGAUAUCUAAUCAAUAGUAUCAAUAAAUUGUCUCCCCGUUUUUGUCGCAAAAAUGACAAAGAAGGAAUAAACAAUGAAUGCACAUAAGAGAAAGAGAAAUAAUUAAGCAAAAGAACUUCAACUUAUUUUUAGAAUGCUUCUUUCUUGGUAAGAUCUCUUAAGAAACCCUUCUUGAAAAUAGAAUUUUUUUUUUGUUUUGUUUUUUAUGAUGGAAAAUUGCUUUCUACCUUAAAAACUAUAUUUGGUAAAAUUUCACUAAAAUAAGUUUUUGAAAAUAGGUUAUUUUUUUGGAACAAAAGCUUUUAAAUAUCUAUAUAUAUAUAUAUAUAUAUUGUAGAAUAUUUCAAGAAAUAGUUGAAAAUAUGAAAAAUGUUUCGAGAACCUUUGUAUUUUAGAUUUGUGCACUUCAAUUUCAUGAACAAUAUUAAACUAAGAAAACUGUUUUUUAUAUACUAAUUUCUAAAUAAAAUUUUGUUGCUGGAAAUAACUAAAAUUUAUUUUAAAAAACUAUUUUUUAAGAAUUAUUUUUGAAAACGUUGCUAAAAAGACAAAAGUCCUUGGUCAUUUUUUUUUUCUUUUAUAUUUUUAUCUUUAUGUAAGAGGCCGGUCUUUUUUUUUUUUUUAAUGUUCCAUAAUCCUUGUGAUAUUGUAACGUGUAAUUCAUUUAUUUGACUUCAAAAGUUAAGAAAUAAUGAACCUUUCAUUAUUGUAGUUUGUCUUGUAGUAAGAGACUUAAAAAUCCAUGUACAAGAGGUCUUCGUUUCUUAAGUCAAGUCAACAAAAUGGAGGUGGAAGAAAUAAUGAACUUUCAUUAUUGUAGUUUGUCUUGCUAAAAGCCAUGUAUAACGGGUCUUCUUUUCUUAAGUCAAGUCAAUAAAUCAAAUUAAAAGAAAUAAUAAACUUUUAUUAUUGUAUUUUAUUUUGUAGCAAGAGACUUAAAAAACCAUGUAUAACAAGUCUUCCUUUCUUAAGUCAAGUCAAUAAAUCAAAUUAAAAGAAAUAAUAAAUUUUCAUUAUUGUACUUUGUUCUUGUAGCAAGAGACUUAAAAAUCCAUGUAAGAGGUCUUCAUUUCUUAAGUCAAGUCAAGUCAAUAAAUCGAAUCGGAAGUUUUUCCUUUUUUUUUUUUUUAAACCAACUUCUACUAUUACUUUUAUUAGUUAUUUUGAUCAUUUGAUUAAAUAUUGAAUUAUUAUUAUUUUUUAAAAAUUUUCAAGUACAAACCAUUUCAUGUUAAAAAAUUUAAAGUGGAUGUAACUUUCUUUUCAAGUUAAGAUAUCUUGAUUAAGGGAUAAAUAAUGGAUUGCAAUAUUUCAACUUUAAUUAAGUUAAUUUAUCAAUAUUCAAAUUAAGUUGGAGAAAAAAAAAAAAAAAAAGACAACACCUCAAUUUUAGUUUUCCAUUACACAUGAUUAUUUCUUUUUCUUCUUUUUCCUUUGCUUCUUUAACACGCAAUGAGAGCUCUAGUCAUCAUACCUUUCAAGACUCUAAACUUACAAAAAUUUUCAGUCUUUUCAUCGUAUCUUUUAAAAUUCUUGACACUCAUAAAGUAUUUAAGACUUAAUUUUAAUAAAUUCAUAUUUUUACAACUAUAACUAAGAGCUUUGACCUAUUAAAAAAAUGAAUAAAAAAUACUUUGCAAGACAUUAAAAGUUCAUAAUUAUUUCUUUUACCUUAAAUGUAGUUGUUAUGUGUUUGCUAGUUCACAUAUUUGAGCGUGGACCGUGGCGACCUGCAGACCCGGAGGGGCAGCGUUGUCUAUCAGAUUUUAGAAAAUUCGUGCAACUAGCCAUAUGGUUUUGGACUAAAAUAAAAAAUAAGACUUUAUUUUUGUUAUUUCUUUUAUCAAGAUAUCUUAAUUAAUAAUUCAAAAAUGUUAAUAAUAAAUUAUAAAAGAGAUUUUUGCUACUCUUCGAAAUUAUAAAAAAGUUUAUACACUCAUAAAACAAAUAAUUAAAUGUAUCUUCUAAUAAAUAAAUUUUUAUUAAAAUAAAUAAAUAUAUAUCUACUUUGACUUUAUUAACAUGAAGUAAAUUGUAGGUAUCUUUAAGUUAGAUUUCUUAUUGAUUAAAGAAAAAGACCAUUCAAGGUUUAGCUAGAUGGAAAAAAAAAUUUUAUUUAUUAGAAAAUUCAAUUUUUUUUAUUGAUGAAUCAUUGAUAAUGAUAUAUAAAAAUAAUUUAUAUAUCAUAUAUUAAUAUUACUUUAUAAAUAUUUUUUAGUUUUUCUUUUUUAAUCAUAAAUUUAAUUUAUAAUUAAAAAAAUUAUUUUAUAAAAAAAAAAAAAUUUAUGAUAUAUCGGAUAUACAUAUCUUAUAUCUUAGUAUAAAAUUAACAUAUCUCGUGUAAAAAAAAAUAAAAAAGAGUGAAUAAUAUAUUUCACCACUUAUACUAUCUCAUCAUUAAUUAAAUAUAAAAUUUAAUGUGAUAUCUUCUCUUUUAUCCUAUAUGAUGUUAUAUUUGGUCAAUCAAACAUAACCUAUAAAACUAAAAUUAUAGAAAUGAAAUGCAAGAGACCUUACUGAAAAAUUGAAAGUAAAAUUAUUGAUUUUUGAAAGUAAAUAUUGAUAAUAUUAUAAAAUUUUCAUUAACAUAAAUUAAAAAAUUAAAGGAAAAAAAAACAUAACACUAUCCUCACAAUUCCGUGAUAUUGUUUUUUUCAUAUUAGAAAUCCUUAUAAUCAACUUUCCUGUUUUAAAAAUAAUUUUUAUUACUAAUUUAGAUUAAAAAAAAAAAAAAAAAACCUUUCAACCAACCACACAUGUGACACAUGGUGGUUGUUUUUGAAUUUCAAUAAAAGAUUUUAUAAUUAUUAAGAAAAGAAAAAAAUGUUAAGAAAAAUGAUUAUUUUUAUUUGAUUUUAUUAUGAAAUAUAUGAAAGUAAAAAUAUAUAAUUAAAAUUAAUAAAAAACUAAUAUAUUUUAAAAUUAUUUAAUUUUUAUUUUUAAAAAUUAAAUAAAUAAAAUAAAAUUAAAAAUAAUUUAUUAAUUUUAAAUUUAUUUUUUAUUUCUCUCUCACUUGUUCUUUAAGACGUGUUGCGUGUAAAAUACCAUAAAACAAGUCAUAUCACCAUGCUCAAGAUUUCAACAUGGUAGGUGUAGGUUUUGAAGACUUUUCCAUGUGAUUAACACUUGGAUACCUGAAUUUUCUUUGGGUGGGGUUGGGCUUCUGUAAGUUUCUCUGCAAUUUUCUCCUACUUGGAAACAAAGGAAUGGUCAAAGAGAGGAACUCAGUGAAGAGAAGAUUGAAACGGACUGGAUACACCCUCGCCUGCUUCGAAGGUUGGUAUGAUCUUCACGGUUGGUAGGCCUUCUCAAGUCUCCAUGCAUGCCUCAUUUUUCCCAUAUGAUAAAUCAAUGGUCGGAAGAGCGAGCUUAACACGAACAAACAUGAUAAAAUCAUUAAAUUUUUGGAAUAAUAAUAUGAUGAAGUUAAUAAAUGAUAAGGAUUAGGAAGAUGUUUAAUGAAAUUUUAAAUUAAUAAUAAUUAGAUGUAUUUAACCUAAACUUUUGGAGAGAUUAAUGAAAUUAAUCAUAUAAAAAUUUCUUUAAUUUUAAUUUUAGAAUAAAUAUUAACAAUAUUUUUUUCAAAUAUAAAUAAUAAUAUUUGGAAAACAUCAUCAGUAAAUUGCCUUUUCAAUUUUUUCUCUAAUUGUCAUUUUAAAUGAAUAUUAAAAUCCUUUUAGUAAAAUUUAUGAAUUUAGUAAAAUAUUAAUAUCUAUAUUUUAUAAUUUUUAAUAAAGUUUUAUCAUUUUUAAUAUAAAAAAAAUUAUAUAAGUUGUGUUUGUCUUAUUAGUAUCACUAUUUACAAAAUUUAUCUUUAUAUUAUUUAUUUUAAAAAUUAUUAUUUAUUAAGAAUCAUUUUUAUAAAAGGUAAAACAUAAUUAUCAUAUAAAUAUAAAUUAAAAGUGGAGGUUAUAUUUGUUAAUUAUUUUUAAAAAGGGAUUUCAAAACAUUACUUCUCCAAAAAUAACAAUAAUAAUAAUAUAAACACAAUAUUGACUCAAAAUAUUAUGUGAAUGAAAAACUUAAAAAUAAUAUAUAUUUGUUUUUUAAAAAAUAUUUUGUCAUAAUUAAAGGUCAUCUACUCAACAUGUUGGUGGGAAUGGUAUAUAAGUCAAUGCCUGCUUUGCUCACAAAUCAAAAACCAAAACUUGCUAAUCCUUGUUAUUACACACUAUCCUUGCUCUGUGUUGAACAUGGCUACAAGCCCCUUUCGAUAUUUUAUUUCCCUUUUUCUGCUUUUGCUCUGUUUCGAAGCCUGUUUGAGGGUGGGUGAUGCUAAAGUUGGGUGCAGAGAGAGGGAGAGGCAAGCUCUCCUUCACUUCAAACAAGGUGUUGUCGAUGACGAUGGAGUGCUUUCUUCAUGGGGGAAUGGGGAAGACAAAAGAGAUUGUUGCAAAUGGAGAGGAGUCAAGUGUAACAACCAGACGGGUCAUGUGAUCAGGCUUGAUCUUCAUGCCCAAUCUUUGGGAGGUAAGAUUGGUCCUUCAUUGGCAGAGUUGCAGCACUUGAAGCAUUUGAACCUCAGCUCGAAUGAUUUUGAAGGUAAUUAUAUACAUAUAUACCUUGUGAAAAUUCAUCAGUUUGUCUCAGCAGAAUAUAAUUCUCUCUUUUCCCAAUUUUACAGGAAUUCUUCCCACUCAACUCGGUAAUCUUUCCAACUUGCAAUCCCUUGAUCUUGGCUAUAAUUAUGGGGAUAUGACCUGUGGAAACCUUGACUGGCUUUGUCACCUUCCUUUCUUAACACACCUUGACUUGAGUUGGGUUAAUCUUAGUAAAGCAAUCCAUUGGCCCCAAGCAAUUAAUAAAAUGCCUUCCCUAACUGAGUUAUACUUGAUUGAUACUCAGCUUCCUUCGAUUAUUCCAACAAUAUCCAUUUCCCAUAUUAAUUCUUCUACUUCUCUUGCUGUGCUUCAUCUCCCCUCGAAUGGUCUCACUUCUUCAAUAUACCCAUGGUUGUUCAACUUCAGUAGCAGCCUUGUUCAUCUUGACCUCUCUUGGAAUGAUCUAAAUGGUUCAACUCCGGAUGCUUUUGGAAACAUGACUACUCUGGCAUAUCUUGAUCUCUCUUCGAACGAGCUACGUGGUUCAAUUCCGGAUGCUUUUGGAAACAUGACUACUCUGGCAUAUCUUGAUCUCUCUUGGAACAAGCUACGUGGUUCAAUUCCGGAUGCUUUUGGAAACAUGACUAGUCUGGCAUAUCUUGAUCUCUCUUUGAAUGAACUUGAAGGUGAGAUUCCAAAAUCCUUGACAGAUUUAUGUAAUUUACAGGAAUUAUGGUUGUCUCAGAACAAUCUCACUGGACUGAAGGAAAAAGAUUAUCUGGCCUGCCCUAAUAACACAUUAGAGGUUUUAGAUUUAUCUUAUAAUCAAUUGAAAGGGUCAUUUCCCAAUCUUUCUGGAUUUUCACAGUUGAGAGAAUUAUUUCUUGAUUUCAAUCAACUAAAGGGAACUUUACAUGAAAGUAUUGGACAACUAGCUCAACUUCAACUGUUGUCCAUUCCUUCAAAUUCAUUGCGAGGCACUGUCUCCGCAAACCACCUUUUUGGUCUCUCCAACCUGUCUUACUUAGACUUAUCUUUCAACUCCCUUACAUUCAACAUAAGCCUUGAGCAAGUUCCCCAGUUUCGAGCCUCAAGUAUACUAUUGGCCUCUUGCAAAUUAGGCCCACGUUUUCCUAAUUGGCUUCAAACUCAAGAAGUUUUGAGCGAACUUGAUAUCUCUGCUUCUGGAAUUUCAGAUGUCAUUCCCAAUUGGUUUUGGAAUUUAACUUCAGAUUUAAAUUGGUUAAACAUUUCCAACAAUCACAUCUCGGGCACUUUGCCCAAUUUACAAGCAAGGUCUUAUUUGGGAAUGGAUAUGAGUUCAAAUUGCUUGGAAGGUUCAAUACCACAAUCUGUUUUCAAUGCUAGAUGGUUGGAUCUCUCCAAGAACUUGUUUUCAGGCUCAAUUUCUUUAUCGUGUGGGACUCCUAAUCAGCCUAGUUGGGGUUUGUCUCAUCUUGACCUCUCAAAUAAUCGACUAUCAGGAGAACUACCCAAUUGUUGGGAGCAGUGGAAAGAUUUAAUUGUUCUUGAUUUGGCAAAUAAUAAUUUUUCUGGGAAAAUUAAAAAUUCGAUUGGCUUGUUACAUCAGAUGCAAACAUUGCAUUUAUGUAACAAUAGUUUUACUGGAGCACUGCCUUCGUCCUUAAAGAACUGCAGAGCUUUGCGUCUUAUAGAUUUGGGAAAAAAUAAAUUGUCAGGAAAAAUAACCGCAUGGAUGGGAGGAAGCCUGUCAGAUUUGAUCGUUCUCAACCUAAGAUCUAAUGAAUUUAAUGGAAGCAUACCUUCAAGUCUUUGUCAACUGAAACAGAUUCAAAUGUUGGACCUCUCUAGCAACAAUCUAUCAGGAAAGAUACCAAAAUGUCUCAAAAAUUUAACUGCCAUGGCUCAAAAAGGAAGUCCGGUCCUUUCUUACGAAACAAUUUACAAUUUGAGUAUCCCAUAUCACUAUGUUGAUAGUACAUUGGUUCAAUGGAAAGGAAAAGAACAAGAGUACAAGAAAACUCUUAGAUUCAUUAAGAGCAUUGAUUUUUCAAGAAACCAAUUAAUUGGUGAAAUUCCAAUAGAAGUAACUGAUUUGGUAGAAUUGGUGUCUUUGAAUUUAUCAAGAAACAAUUUGAUUGGAUCAAUCCCUACAACAAUUGGUCAAUUGAAAUUAUUGGAUGUUCUUGAUCUAUCUCAAAACCAACUUAAUGGUAGAAUUCCGGAUACUCUUUCUCAAAUAGCCGAUCUAAGUGUUUUAGACCUAUCAAAUAACACCUUGUCAGGUAAAAUUCCAUUAGGCACUCAAUUACAAAGCUUUGAUGCCUCCACAUAUGAGGGAAAUCCUGGACUUUGUGGACCACCUCUUUUGAUAAGGUGUCCUGAAGAUGAACUUGGGGGAGUCUCCUUCACUAGUGGUCUUAGUAGUAAAAAAGAGGACAUUCAAGAUGAUGCAAAUAAUAUAUGGUUUUAUGGAAAUAUUGUUCUUGGAUUCAUCAUCGGAUUUUGGGGAGUUUGCGGCACUUUACUAUUCAAUAGUUCAUGGAGAUAUGCCUAUUUCCAAUUGUUGAGCAAGAUAAAGGAUUGGUUGUACAUGACAACAAUAGUAAAUAUGAAUAGAAUACGAAGGAGCCUGCAAGGUUAAAUGGUAAGACUUCUCAAAUUCUCUUUUUAGUUUUUCUGGUAAAAUGUGUUAACUUCUAUUUAUUAUCCAACAGUUAAGAAUAAAAAGUACACUUUAUGCUACUACUCAAAUCCCUCUUCUAUUAUUUGAUUGACCUUCCACAAUAUAUUGAUGAAAGCUUAGAUUUUGCAAAUAGAAGCAUCGAUAAAAUAAGCAAGCGUAGAAGAUUUUAAUAUACUUUUUUGUAAUAGUUGUGCAUAUUUAGCUUUCAUCAUGUAAAGAUUAAUCUUAUAGGCCGAGGAUCAUAGUUGAAGAAUGAUUAUUUGUAUUUUUAUUUCUAUCUUACUUCAAGUUACAAUUUUUUCUUUUAAAUGUUAAGUUAAUUUGUUGUCUUCAAAUAUUAUAAGUACAUUAAAAGUUCAAUUGUAAGUAACAUACUAAAACCUUCAUUUCUACUAAUCAAGAAGAGUCGCAACUAAGAAAUUAUUCCAAAUUGAUGAGCGUUGUUGCAUUUCAUCUUUGUAUUACAGGACUUCAGCUGGGUUGCAUCUCAAGGAUUAGUAGGUGAUAUAUGCUUUUGAGUAACGGGAGUAUUUAUGAUGGGAUAGUUACAUGCCUUAAUGCAAAAGCUUGUCAUCGGAUAAAUGACAUCAACAUGUAUUAAGUUUGCUUAUUUGGUAGUUAGCUUGGCUUUAAGUUUCUCGUGUUAUAUUCUAUUUAGAACUUUUUAAACAUUAAUUUUUGCUAUUAUAUGUACGACUUUGUAUUUUGUUGCUCUAAAAUUUAUUUGUUAUUUUUGUAGAAUCAAAUAUUAGAGGCCUUUGUAGGGGGUGCUAAAAAAAUACUUCAUCUUAGAAAAAUAUUUUUUUUUUUGCUCAAAAACAAAGUUUAUUUUUUGGGAAAUGCAAUGUGAUAAUACCCAUUAGUAUGAAAUGUGGGAUAUGCUACUACUGAAAACAGAGCACUCUGUUUUUUUGGUGCUCAAGCAUGAAAGCUCCUGUAACACAGAGAGGUCUGAUUUCCAACCGUGAAUCAAAUUGCUUAAGGUACUCCAUAUGCAGAUUGCUGGAAGUCACUUUGGGCAUCAAUCAUCUUCAAGGGACGAUGAUGAUGGGAAUUGGAUCAACGGCGGUAAAGACCAACUAUGGAAAGUUUGCUAAAAAGCUCCCAUUUCUUUAUUUUGGUUUCUGCUUUUGUAAAUAACAAUGUUAUCCAAAAUUUGUGUUGGUUGCUCAAGUUUUGUAAAAGCUAUUCAACCAAUACAAAUCGCUACAUAAUAUGCAUUUUGCCGAAGAUCUGUGAUGAUUUGGAGCUCUCUCCAAUGCCAUACCAGGUUACAACUGAAACAAGCAUCUUAUUUAGGAAUAGUUAACAACAACGAAGAACUGCAAUUUAUAUUUGUGUUUUUUGUUCCACUGAAUAUUGCAGUAAUCAACUUAUGGAAGAAGUUGGAGCUGUUGGAGAAGAAAGUGCUCUUCAUGUUUGCUCAAACAAUUCAGAGGGAAGUUUAGCUUUUGCUUUGGUAGUUGUGAAGUUGCAAACUGUUAUUAGAAUAAGAAGCCUCUACUUUUGCUUGUUACUGAAUAUGAAUUUUUUUUUUAAGAAGUAAAUUUGCUAAUUAUUGUUCUUUUUCUUAGGCACCCAAGAAAAGAGUAUGUACUUUUAGCAAAGACCAAGAGGAAACUAUUAGAGCUUCAUUUGAGCAGUGAGUGCUUAAUUUGUUCUUUUUUGUGGCAUAUGCAUGUAGUCUUAAAUUUGAUUUCCCUCUGCAUAAUUGAUGCUGAAUAUUGUGAUUUUGGAAAGAUUAAUGCUAGUCUCCUUUUCGUCUUUUAAAUUAAAUUAGAUUUGUUUACGUAUAGGUUUAAAGACCAUAAAAGGUGCACCUACAUGAUUGUAAGUGCUCUAGAUGGUGAUGGUACGUUCACAGCUGCCCAAGUUUCCCAUAAGCUCAAGCAACAAUUUGCUUGUGUUCCUCAUCAAAAAAAGAGUUGAAGACAACUUGCAUUUGAGAGAUGAAGAUCUUAAUGGUUGUGAUAUAGCCAAAGCACAGGAUUCCAAUGAUGAAACAUUGUUUUCACUAAGAAAAAGGUAACUAUAUCUUUAUGAAUUUCAUGCAAUUUUGUGAAUUAAUCUUAUUUGUGUGAUAUCCCACAUCGAAUGAGGGGAAAACUAUUAUAUAUACAUAUAUAGGUUCUCUUAGACACGUUUUAAAACUCAUGAGGGCCCCUUAAGCCCAUAAUAGAUAAUAACUACAUAGUUAGCAGUGGAUCGUUAUAGCUUGUAUGCAAACUUUAUCACAUACUUGCAUCUUUGUGGUUGCAGACUUGUAGUGUAUUUGCAUUUGCUUGCAUUUGUCAAGUACUAUACUUUGGUGAUGAAAUCAUAAAUUCAUGACACUCAAGACUUAAUCCAAUUGACAUGUUUUUUUUUUUACUAAAUACAAUAACUAAUUCUUAAGUUAUAAAUUAUAUCACCAAAUUAUUUUUUUACAAUAUAUAGUUUAUUUCAAAUUUUAUUUUAUUUUUCUUCACCUCUUAGGUUUAUCACUUUACAUUACAAAAUAAAAUAAAUUGCAAUUUCCCUUUUCACAAGAUUUUUAUUUUUACAAAAUAUUCAAUAUUUUCCAACUUUUAUAAAAUAAUUUCCGAAAUUAUAUAAUCGGCUGUUAUAAAGAUUUUAAAUUUUUGUGUUGUCAUGGGAUUAUUUUGUUGGCAUGCUUGACCCAGUUGGUAACUUAGGUUUUUUUUUUUUUUUUAAUUCGCCUGACCUUCACAUGUGGCCUAUUACCAUUGGUGGAAAAUUGUGGGUAAGGUGAGAUUUCGGUACCCAAGCUUGACCAUAUAUAUCUGUGAAUUACGCAGAAGACUCGAAAAGUCAAAGGAAAAAUCCUGGGAACCAAGCUGGAAAACACAGGACUGUUAUUUCAGGGAAGGUGUACGUUUGGGGGCAUAUUACAGCUUGGGUACUGAACAAGAGGCAUGUAAGAAGUCUGGCCAUGGAUGCAGAAGAAGAAAAGCAAAGUAAAACCCACAUCCAUGGACAGUUGGUAGAGAUAAACCACAAUCAGGAGAAACGAAUACGCCACGAAGAAACAAAGGCACAGAAUCUGACAACUGGGUUUGCGGUCGUCCAAGUUUUAAUUCUCAACACACUGGUGAUCAACAAGCCAUCCGGCAGAUGCGAACACUGGUGGGUGCCAUUCUCUCUCUCCUUAUCAGUCGGUGUGAUUUAUUUCGUCACCAUUUUUGAGGUAGUGAAGAAAUGCUACCUUCUGCUCUACCAUUUGGACGUCAACUACAUGGAGCAAGAAGCCAUUCUUCUGGAAAUGCAUGGGGGUGCUUCGUCCCGGCGACAUGAUCAGCCAUUGAAGCCAGAUGUGGUGAAGCUCCUGAGGCGUAAAGCUUAUAUCACGAUACUGAUUUCUGCCAUGCUCGCCUUUCAAGCUCUGAUGCUCCACGCCUGCAGCUCCUUUCUUUGCAACUGAGAUUAACCAUUAGCUAUGUUCACAUGUGAUUAAUGCUCUUGCCGUUUUAAAUACAUAAGAAUAAUGUUGUUUCAAAAAUCGUUUGCUUAUAUUUAAAUACUAUUUUCUCUUUUCCAACUGUCCUUACAAAUAGUCUUAUGCUUAGUAGUAGAAAAAAAAAAAAUAUUAAGAUGAAAAUUAUGUAAUUCAAAUUGAAUGCAUCAAUGGAACCGAAAUUAUUCAUCGUGAAAUUUAUUUACAUCGUUUUUCUUUCCAAAGUAUUUUCUAGUUGGAAAGAAAAUUCCAACAUUGCAAUUUUCGUUAGAAAAACGGGACAAAUUAUAAAAGAAAAGAAAAAUCAAUCUCAAAUACCAAUAUUAAAAUGAUUUAUCUAUUUAUCAACACAAUUUGAGUGGAAGAAAUAAAGACACGUGGAAAUCUAUAUAUCAGGAAUCAAAUAGGGUCAAGAAUGGGUUCCAACAAGAACCAUCAAUGGGCUGCCCAAUCAAUAACAAAAGGCCCUCGAUGGGUCUCAUGGGCCAAACAAAAUGGAGCCAGCACACAAUAAGUUUAAACCCAAAUAAAAAUUUCAAGUACAUAUUUUCAAUCCCAUUUAUAAUUUAUUCAUUUAAAUUAGAAAUCUAUAUAUCAAGAAUCAAAUUAGAGAGACCAAAAUUAACAUAUCAGAGUAGAAAUCUUUACAAUCAAAUUUCUUUUUUAUAAAUUUAAAAAUAUUUUCUAUAACUAAUUUAGAUUAGCAAAAAAGAAAAAAAAAAUCUUCAUCGGACCACACAUGUGAUACACUUUGGUAGUUGUUUUUAAAUUUCAAUAAACAUUCUUACAUCAAAAGUAUAAAAAAAACUAAAAAAAAAAAGGAAAUGUUUAGGAAAGUUUGAUUUUAUUGUAGAAAUUAAACAAAAAAAAGUUAAAUAUAAUUAAAAUUAGUAAAAAAAACUUAAAUAUUUUUAGAUUAUUUUAAGUUUGAUGUAAAGUAUAAAAAUAAUUUUUUAAUUUUAAAUCAAUUUUUUUUCUUUGCUUCUAUUUUUUUCUUUAUUUUUUUUUCUUUUCCUCACAUUUUUUCUUUCACUCCUGAGGAACCAAACAUAACCUAAAAGUUUUAAAUAUAUAAAAAAAAACUUCAUAUUAUAUAUAUAAGGGUUGUUAUUAUAUUGAUUUAUAUAAGUACAAUAUGAUUUUUUUUUUUUUUAUAACCGUGGAUGUUCGGGCCAGCUUACGCGCACCUCGACUAAUCCCACGGGGCCCUGAAGUUAACGACCGGGUAAACCUCCAGUGGCCCUGAGGGGACUCGAACUGGUGACCAUAAGGGAGCAAACCCAAGGCCGGACCAACUGAGUUACCCCUCAGGGUUAUAAGUACAAUAUGAUUAUUCAAAUCAUAUUACAUGUAUAGAAUACGAGAAAUCAAGUUGUGUCAUACUCAAAAUUUCAACAUGAUAGAUAUAGCUUUUGAAGACUUUUCCUUUGCGAUUAAUUCUUAUACUUGGAAUUUGUUUAGGUAGGGUAGGGUUUUUGGAAGUUUGUUCGCAAUUUUCUCAUACUUGGAAACAAUUUCCAAAGGAAUGGUCAGAGAAAGGAACUAAACAAAUAGAAGAUUGAAACGGACUAGAUAGACCCUCACCUGCACCGAAGGUUUGUAUGAUCUUCGUGGACCGCAGGCCGCAUGGCCUUCUCAAGCCUCCAUGCCUUGCUUUUCCGCUUAUAAAGAACAGCCAAAAAGGACUUGACUGAUCUGAAAAAUCAGUGGCCGGAAAAGCGAGCUCGACACGGAGAAACAAUUGCCCAUGCAGUUUGGGAGAUCACAGAGCGAACUGUUGGAGUCUGGGCUUUUGUUUCUUCGUGUCGAUCUCGCUUCCCUUUAUGGCAGAGCUUUUCUCACCCUUCAGACACUCUCCUCCCAAACCAACCUCUCACAGCUUCAAUGCAGCUCACAUCCUCCUCACCGGCGCAUGGUGGUUACUACACUAUCCAGAUGCUGCAGCAGCCCACUUCCCUCAGCCUUGGACUCAUCUACAACUUGCCCGACUCUUACAUCACCUCGUUGCAGUCUUACACCAACUACUCCUACUGGUCUGGACCCGAUAUAUCAAACGUAACAGGCGAUGUAGUCGCGGUUUUAGACAGGGCGGGGAGCUUUGGGAUCAUGUAUGGGUCAUCAUCUGAUGGGGCGGUUUAUGUUUACAAAAGUGAUACUGAUGAGAAAGGGCUGUCUUCGUCGUGUGAAUCAGAUAGUUAGGCCAUUAGUUCUUCGAAGACUGAUACUCGAGAUGAAUGGGAAUUUGAGGCUGUAUCGUUGGGACGAUGAUGUGAACUGCACUCGCCAAUGGGUGCCUGAAUGGGCUGCAGUUUCUAACCCAUGUGAUAUUGCUGGGGUUUGCGGAAAUGGGGUGUGUAGCUUGGACAGAAGCAAGACUAAUGCCUCCUGUACAUGCCUGCCGGGGGCUUCUAAGGUGGGAGACAGCGGCCAGUGCUCAGAGAAUUCGUCGGUGUCAGCUGGGAAAUGUGAUAAUAAUCAUCGGAAUUCAACUGCUUCCAAGCUGAAGAUGUCUAUAGUACAGCAAACUAACUACUAUUACCCUGAAUCUUCGAUUAUAGCAAAUUAUAGUAACAUGUCCCAAUUGUCAAAGUGUGGGGAUGCUUGUUUAUCAGACUGUGAUUGUGUUGCUUCCGUGUAUGGGCCGAGUGAGGAAAAGCCUUACUGUUGGCUGCUGAACAGCUUGGAGUUCGGUGGAUUCGAGGACACGAGUUCGACGUUGUUUGUGAAGGUUGGGCCUAAUGGGUCACCUGAAGACAAAGCAACAGGAUCUGGGGAUUCAUCUGAUGGCCUCCGGGACAAGGUCUUGGUUCUUCCAAUUGUUCUCAGCAUGACUGUCCUUGUAGCACUCCUCUGCCUGUUGUUAUAUCACACUCUGUACAGAAGGAGGGCCUUGAAGAGAUCCCUGGAAAGCUCCUUGAGUGUGUCCGGUGCGCCAAUGAAUUUCAGUUACCGCAAUUUGCAGUCCAGAACCGGCAAUUUUUCGCAGUUGCUCGGCACAGGUCAGCAUGUACAUAUACAUAUACUUUGAAAGGGAUGAAAUUGUUUGAACAAAGCCAGUUGGACUUGAUCAAUUUGGAUUAAUGUUGUCUUCUCUUUUUUUCAGGAGGGUUUGGGAGUGUAUACAAGGGAAGCCUUUCAGAUGAGGCAUUGGUUGCAGUGAAGAAGCUUGACAAGGUUUUGUCUCAUGGGGAGAAGGAAUUCAUAACUGAAGUGAACACCAUUGGCUCUAUGCAUCACAUGAACCUGGUUCGCCUAUGUGGCUACUGCUCGGAAGGCUCUCACCGGUAUGCAUUUCAUUUCAUCGCCUAAAACCAAUUACCACUAACCAUAAUUAAAUUCUUGUCAUCCUCUUUUGUGGUCAAGCAUACUAUAUUUUCGAGCUUAUAAUGGGGUUGGAAUUUGAUGAUUCUUCACAGGCUUCUGGUUUAUGAGUUCAUGAAAAAUGGUUCCUUGGACAAGUGGAUAUUCCCCUCAAAGCAUUGCCGGGACAGACUGCUAGAUUGGGGAACUCGUUUCCAUAUAGCCAUUGCUACUGCACAAGGGAUUGCUUAUUUUCAUGAGCAGUGCAGGAAUCGGAUAAUCCACUGCGAUAUCAAGCCUGAAAACAUACUUCUAGAUGAGAAUUUCUGUCCAAAAGUUUCAGACUUUGGACUAGCAAAGCUGAUGGGCAGAGAGCAUUCACAUGUUGUCACUAUGGUGAGAGGAACUAGGGGCUAUCUGGCUCCAGAAUGGGUUAGCAACCGGCCUAUUACUGUAAAAGCCGAUGUCUACAGUUACGGAAUGCUUCUCCUGGAGAUUGUUGGUGGCCGGAGAAACCUUGACAUGACCUUUGAUGCAGAAGACUUCUUCUAUCCUGGGUGGGCUUUUAAGGUAUAGAUCAAUCAAGUUCUUGCUUCUGUAAAUCACAAAUUGUUAAGUGUUUGAUAUUUUAUUAACGAAAAUGCCAAUUCCUCUAGGAAAUGAGUAAUGGGACGACAAGAAAAGUUGCAGACAGGCGACUGGAAGGGGCAGUGGAGGAAGAGGAGCUAGAAAGAGCAUUGAAAACUGGCUUUUGGUGCAUUCAAGAUGAGGUUUUCAUGAGGCCUUCAAUGGGGGAAGUGGUGAAGAUGUUGGAAGGAUCACUUGAAAUCAACACACCGCCAAUGCCACAGACAGUUCUGGAGCUCAUGGAGGAGGGCUUAGACAAUGUAUACAGAGCCAUGAAGAGAGAGUUCAACCAGUCCAGCUUCUUCACCAUCAAUAAUAGUACCCAUCCUUCAUCAAGGGCUACAUGUAGUUAUUCCACAAUGUCACCUAGAUAGCAAAGGAGAAAUGGAACAAAUUUUGUUGUUGUCCCGGAAUUUUAUCACCUUGAUAGAUACUGUCCAGAAACAUAAUUCUUAUUGAUCAAUUGUUACCAUACAUACUAAUGGGCAAUGAAAUUAGUAGAGAACUUUGCAUAGGUUGAGGUACGAAAAUCUCGGUCUUUUAAAGGAGAUUUAAGCCAUUUCUGGUUUGACAAUUUGAGAAAUUGGUGUAUUUGACUUCUCUUUGAUUUGUCCCCACAAGGAUACGAUAGUCGGCCAAGUGAUUUGUUGCAUAGCUCACAUCAAUAUGCAUAAAGCAUAGAACUUAAGGCUUCACAAAGAAAAAAAAAAAAAAGAAGAAGAAAGGAAGAAGAUAACUAAAAAAAGUCUAAAAAACAUGACAUUAGGAGGAUGAGUCAAAAGACUCAUCAUAAAGUUUAAAAUCUUCAACAAUUUUGAAAGAAUUCAAUCUAGCUCUUUAAUUUUUAUAAGCUAAAUCCCAUUGACAUAAAUGAUAUUUAAUACUUCUCAAUUCCCAUAAUUGUAACUACAAAUUCAAUAAUCCAUUAUGCCAACUUUAAUCCCCUUAACUUUCAUAUAUAACCAUAAUGUUGGUAGCUAGUUUACAUUGAUAACUUUGUUCCAAACUUGUUGGAUCUAACUCUAAUAUUUAAUUACUUCAUGUGACUUACAUUGGACUUGAAAACUUGAAAUUUUUAUCAAUUCCUCCUUAAGGUCAUUCUGGUAACUAUGAUUAAGUUUGUUCGGGUGAAUAAUGACAUCAAAAGGUAUAUGCUGGUUUUUAUUAGAUGAUGUGAAAAUAAUAGGGAAAAAAAGAAAAAAAGAAUCGGAUUUUGAUGAGCAAUCAAGUGAUCCUUAUGAGUGCUUAAGUGCCCAUAACGACUUUACAUAAUUUUUUACUAAUUUUCUUAUUCCAUUUUUUCAUGAUAUUUUUCCGCUACGAUUUUUAAGAUUAUGAUUACACCUUAUGUUAUUGAUUUGAUAUAUGUUUUUUAGAGCUAUAUGCUAUUAUUCUCUAAGAGCCCCAUCGUGGAUUAAGUUUAGUUUGUGGUGAUUUCUUUCAUUAAGGAAUACUCUCUCUCUCUCUCUAAUUGGGAAAUAUCAUCGAUAUGUUGGUGGACAUUGAAGUGAAAUAUAGGAUAGUUUGUGGUGAUUUCUUUCAUUAAGGAAUACUCUCUCUCUCUCUAAUUGGGAAACAUCAUUGAUAUGUUGGUGGACAUUGAAGUGACAUAAGGGGAGAUGGAUAGAUAUUGAAGUGACAUAUAGGGGAGAUAUAUCCAUCUACUGAAGUUUCGGUUAUUUUUUAAAAAUUUGAUAUUUUUGCCAUUCACAUAUUUAAGAGAAUAAAAUAUAAAAGAGUUAAAUAUCUUAUUCCUCGUAAAAUUGAAAUUUCAACUUUUGAAAUGUCAAAUUACAAAAUUAUAAAACACAUUAAAUUUUGAUAUGCCUUAGAAAAAAAACAUAUUUAAUUCAUUUUUUUUUAAUUUUCUUUGUUAUCUUAUUAAUUAAGUUAGCAAAUUACAUUAAAAAUCAAAUAACAAUGGAUCAAUUAAAAGAUAUAACACUAUGUUCGGUUGUCUAAGAUUUGAAAGUAAUGACAACAAAAAGAAAACAAAGAAAAAAAUAAAAAUAAAAAUAAAAAAAAUAAAAAAAUAUUUAAAAUUAAUAAAUUAUUUUUACAUCUUAAUAAAUUAUUUUUACAUAAUUCUUUAUUCAUUCCACUUAUUUAUACUCUUUUAUAUAAAAAUUAAAUAAUUUUAAAAAUAUAUAAAAUUUUAAUUAAUUUUAAUUAUAUUUGAUUUUUCUUUACACUUUUUUAGAGUUAAUUUUGUUCACCUUCUAGAGCUUUGGGUUAAAUAUAUUUAGUCACCUUGAGUUUAAAAUUUUAUCAAAUAUCUUUCUUCCUUUUUUUUUGAGUUAGAGGUAGGGGCAUAACUUGAGCGGAUAGGCCCUACUCAACCUGAUGUUUGAAUAGCUUGAACAAUUAUUUUCAAUACUUGAGUUGUGAUAGAUUAAAUAUUUUCAAUUCGAGCUCAAUUUGGACGACUAAAGAUUCAAACAACUCAAACCUAAUCCAAAUUGGAUUUAAUAUUUUUAUAAUAUUUAUAAUAUAAAAUAUCAAAUAUUAUUAUUACAUAUCAUAUCUUGAAAUUUUGUUCUAUUAAUUAUUUAAAUUUUGACAUAAAUAUAUGAGUUUAUUAUACUUUACCCCUAUAACCUAUAACUUGUUUUACACAUUGUUCCAUCAAGUUCAAAAUUGAGUAAUGUACCUUCCAUAUUUAAUAACUGUACGUAAUGUGCAUUUUUUUUAAAGACAACUUUAUUUUUUGGACGGAAAGGUACGUGCUCUCCGCGUGAUUGAGGGUAAAAGUGUCUUUUUUCCUUUGCAACUCCCUCUCUCGAUCAUUACUCCCCUUUGGAACCCCAAAUUGUAGCCCGCUUCUUCCUGACCCGUUCUUCUUUCCUUCCUUCAAAGCCUUAGAAUGUGAAUCCCAAAAAGUUGCUACUGAAGCCCUAGAAAAUUUCUCAUGUUUGUAGGGUGGAAAUGUUUCUCCAAAUUUCCCUAAAAAAUUGCCCAAAAAUUUCCCCAGUUUUUUGAAACACAAAAACAAAACCCCAACCCUAAACUAGAAGCAUAACAAAAAAAAUUUAAACCCUAACAUAAAAACCCUAGCCCUCAAUUGGCCCUAGUUUUAUUCAACCAUAAAUCCCCCAAAUUUCCCCUGAAAAUUGCCUUUAAAUUUCUACAAAAUUUCCCCCAAAAUUCUCCUAGUUUUCUUAAACAUGAAAAUGAAACCCUAACCUUGAACUAAAAUCAUAACAUAAAAAUUUAAACCCUAACAUGAAAACCCUAACCCUCAAUUUGCCUGAGUUUUAUUCUUCCAUAAUUUCCACAAAAUUUCCCCAAAUUUUCUGAAAGAUCCAAACGAAACCCUAACCCUAAAGAAAUUGGAAGACAAAAAAUACCUUUGAACUUUCAUGUCUCUCUUCAAUGUCAGCCCUGCAUUAGCUUCUUUGGGAUUCUAGGGCUUCAGCUUUGAGUUUCACUAAUAGCUACAGAGGAGGAACAGUACAUGCUGGAGAAGAUGAGGGUUUUAAAAUAACAAUGACCCUUUUGCCCUUGCUUUAUGGGAACGAAGACAAUUUUGCCCUCAGUCACGUGGAGAGUACAUGUCUUUCUGUCCAAAAAAAAUAAUGUCGUAUUUAAAAAAAUACACAUUUUAUGCAAUUAUAAAGAAUUAAGGGUACAUUAUUCGAUUUUGUACUUAAGGGGGCAAUGUGUAAAAUAUGCUUUAAAUUGAGGGGUAAAGUGUAAUUAACUUUAAAUAUAUAGAAAAAAUAUUUUUUUGAAAAACAUUAUUUGGGUAAAUUUUGAAUUAUGCAAUCGAUUAUUUUCUCUUGAAUAACCUCAUGAAUCCGAACUCAAUCUAAUUUUUUUUUAUCCUACUUUAGAUAUAUAUAACUCAUUUGUCUUGUCUCGGUCACUUCGUCCCAAUCACAUUCAUAAAUUUUCUCGGGAAACUUGUGUUUGAGGCUGGUAAUAUUAAAAUAGUAUGAGAUUGGAAACCCAACUUUUGAUUUUUUAAUAUAAUUAUUCUAAUCCUAAAAAUAAUAUAGGGUUCAUGCACUUUUAGCUGAACUAUUUUUUAAUAUCCAAUAUGCCCUCUUCUUUCUGCCAGGUCAACCUCCACAUGUGAAAAAAAAAAGAGGUCUUCUUCCAUCUCCAGCAUCACCUGUGAAAAAAAAAGGGUCUUAUUCCAUCUCCAGUAUCACCUCCACUAGAUGACCAUAACUCCUCCCAAACUUCUUCACCUCCAUUUGCAGACUGUCCACUAUCGGGUCAACUUGUUUCAUCUCAAUCAUCGCCGCGGCUCAUCACCAGCGACGACCGAGGGAACCUCGACUCUAUGUACCGCAUCAACAUCUCCCCCGAUCCCGAAACUGUGUCAGAGCCACACUGCAGAACCAACAUAUCGGGUUUGAGAAUCGGCGUCUCGGCCGACACCAUACAGAUGGAUACGCAUUUGUGGUGUAGGGCGAACCGGAUGUAGGAGGUGAGAGGAACCGCUGGAGAUAAACGACACCAAAAUUCCUUUCCCAUCUUCCACUCCCUGGUUGUAGGUCUCAUCAUAGGAAACAAACGGCUGAGACUUAGUAAAUUGGGAGAGGAAGCAUGCUAGUUGUAGGUGUGAGAAGUUGCGGGAGAGUCAUGGACGAAGGUGGGGGGAGAGAGAGAGAGAGAGACUUGAAGAGGUUAGGUUUUCUUUUUGGGAUUUGGGUUUCAAAAGGGAGCAGAGCAGAUGGAAAAUUUUAGGCAAAACGUUUUAUGUUUUCUCGGUUUUUUGAUUUUUUGGUUUUUUUUUUAAAAAAAAAAUAAGUGGAGGUUGACGUGGUAGAGAAGAGAGGCAUAUUAGGUAUUAAAAAUCAGCUCAGCCCAAAGGGCAUGGAACCCAAAAUAUUUUGGGUUCAAUAUUGAAAAAUUAAAAAUGGUAAAAAUGAGUUUUGGUUUUCAUAAUAUUUAGAUAUCACCAUCCCAAAACCUAACUUUUCCAAUUUUCUCUUUCGUGCUUGCCGUGAAAGUCACUUGCUCCGCAAUUUACGCAAAGACUCUAUUACCAUUGACUUUAUUACAAUUUCUACAAGAAAAAUCGAACUUCAAGACUAAGCAAAUAUCCUAGGAAUCAAGCUGGAAGCUACAAUGCUGUUUCAGGGAAGCAUAUGAUAUACAAAUACAACCCUUAUAUGUUACAGCUUCGGUACUGACCAGGAGACUGUAAGUACUGGCCAUGGAUGCAGAAGAAGAAAGGCUAAGUAAAACCCAUAUCCAUGGCCAAUUGGUAGAGAUAAACCACAAUCAGGAGAAACGAAUACGCCACGAAGAAACAAAGGCGCAGAAUCUGACAACUGGGUUUGCGGUCGUCCAAGCUUUAAUUCUCAACACAGGGGUGAUCAAUAAGCCAUCUAACAGAUGCGAACACUGGUGGGUGCCAUUCUCUCUCUCCUUAUCAGUCGGUGUGAUUUAUUUCAUCACCAUUUUUGAGGUGUUGAGGAAAUGGUACCUUCUGCUCUACCAUUUGGACGUCAACUACCUGGAGCAAGAACUUAUUCUACUGGAAAUGCAUGGGGGUGCUCCGUCCUGGCGAAAUGAUCAGCCAUUGAAGCCAGAUGUGGUGAAGCUCCUGAGGCGUAAAGCUUAUAUCACGAUACUGAUUUCUGCUAUGCUCGCCUUUCAAGCUCUGAUGCUCCACGCCUGCAGAUCCUUUCUUUGCAGCUGAAAGUAACCAUCUUCCCCUUUAAAUAAAUACUAGAAUAAAAAAAAAUUGUUGUUUAUUAUGCCAAAUUUCUCGAUGCCUUUGAAGAGUGUCAUGGGAAAUGCUAUUAAGAUGCAAACUACAUAAUUCAAAAUGCAUUAUAUGGAACGAAAUUAUUUACCAUGAAAUUUAUUUAUAUUGUUUUUCUUUCUAAAGUAUUCAAAAUGCAUGAUAUGCAAUAGAAAAUUUUGAGGGAAAAUAUCACAGAAAGAAAAUAGAGAGAAAAAAUAGAAUAAAAAAAUAUGAAAAAAAAAUAAAAAAAUAUAUUUAAAGUCAAUAAAUUAUUUUUAUAUCUUAUUUUAAACUUAUUUUACUUAUUUUAACUCAUCAAUAUAAAGGUUAAAUAAUUUUAAAAUAUAUAAAAUUUUAAUUAAUUUAAAUUAUAUUUGAUUUUAUUUGACAUUUUUCAUGAUACAAUCAUGAGAAACUCGUUUUCUUAAACAUUUUUCUUUUCUUUUUUCAGUAGUUUUUGGCAACCAAACAUUACCUAAAAUUUUGUUAGUGCAUCUCCUUAGGUGUUUGUGCUCACAUAUUGGGCCCAAGAAUGGGUUCCUGCAACUACCAUCAAUGGGCCGGGCUGCCCAAUCAAUAACAAAAGGGCACUCACCUGGGUCUCAUGGGCCGAGAAAAAUGGAGCCCAUACACAACAGUUUUGAACCCAAACAUAAAUUUCAAGUUCAUAUAUACUUUUAAUCUCGUUUAUUCAUUCAUAUUAGAAAUCUAGAUUUAUAUUAAUUCAUUCAUGUAGAUCUAUAUAUUAGGAAUCAAAUUAGAGUGCAUAGAAACCAAAAUUAAGAGAGAGGAUUAUACCCAGGGAAGUUUUGUGUGAUACGUUGAACUGAAAGUGAUAAAAACUAAGACUAUGUUUAAUUCCCAAAAAGCAAUAAGGAAAGAAAAAAAAAUAUGAAGGAAAAUUAUUUUCUUGUAUUUUAUUUUUUUAUGAAAAACUUGAAAGGAAAUAAAAUAUAAUUAAAAAUUUAUUAUAUAUUUUUAAAUUAUUAAUUUCCAUAUAAAAGGGGAACAAAAUGUCAAUGAAUUUGAAAUAACAAAUAAAAAUGAUUUAUAAGUUUUAAAUCCAUUUUUUUUAUUUUCCUUAAUAUUUUCCUUCUUCUACUUUUUCUUUCUAUUUUCUUUUUCUCACAUUUUCUCUUAGAUUUUCUAAGAACCAAACAUAAUAUAAAAAAACAAAUAAUAUAUAAAAAAACCCAAAUAAUUUGACAUGUGGUAUAUUGUUGCUAGUCAAAGUAAUGGUUGUGGGUGACUUUUAGAAGCCUCCAAUAAGAAAUGGCCAAAAAACCUAUGAGCUUGGCAUUUAUUUGAGUAUCUCGGGGACAAUAUUUUAUUUUUAAUUAUGUGUUUUAAUUCAUUGUUUUUUUUUCUUUAAUAUUAUUUUAGAAAUAUGUUUAGAGAUAUGUUAAUUUUAGUGCUUAUAGUAAUAUAAAGAUUUUGAUAAUUAAAAAUUUGUUUAAAAAUGAUUUUAGGAAGCAUUUAACCUAUUUAAUCUUUAAAUUUUUUAUAAAAGAAUUGUUUUCAAGUGCUAAAAAGAUUAGAGACAUUUUAUAAAAUUACUAUUAAAUAAAUUCUAAAUAUAAUCGAGUCGUGUGACUAUAAAUUGCUAGACUUUUCCAUGUGAUUAAUCCUUGGAUACUUGGAAUUUGUUUAUGUGGGGUAGAGCUUUUGUGAGUUUGUUUGCAAUUUUCUCAUACUAGAAACAAAUGAAUGGUCAGAGAAAGGAACAUAGAAAAGAGAAGAUUGAAACACCUUCACCUGCUCCGAAGGUUCGUAUGAUCUUCAUGCCAGCCUCCAUGCCUCAUUUUCCCGCUUAUAAAAAAAAGGCCACAAAAGACUAGACUGAUCUGAUAAAGCAGGGCCGGAAAAGCGAGCUCGACACGAAGAAACGAAAGCCGGCCAAUGCAGUCCGAGAGAUCACACAGCGAACUGUUCGAGUCUGGGCUUUUGUUUCUUCGUGUCGGUCUUGCUUCUGUCUCCGGCCGGAGGAACAAAAUUGUACAGACAUGGAUGGGAAGAACUCCUGUAAUAUCAAGAGUCCUUCUAUCUUUGGAUUGUUAUAAUAAUAUUAUCUUCAAAACAAAAUUUAUGCAAGUGGGGGUAUAUUUUUUAUUUUUUGUUUUUGAAAAUAGGAAGUUUUAUACAAAAUAUAAAAAAAUCUUAUAUGAAAGAUAGGUAUAAUCUUGUUAUGUUAUUUGAAAACAUUUUUUAAAAUUGACAGAAGUAAAAAAAUUUCAAUUCCAUAAAUUUUUAAAUUUUGAAAAAGUCUUUAAGAAGGGUAGGUAAGAGGAUGCUUGUUAAUGGUUAGAAAAUAGUUUUAUAUGUUUUAGAACAAAAGAAUAAUAAAAAAAAACAUGCUUAGUGAUUAGAAAACAGUUUAUACUCUUAAAAAACAAAAAAUCGGAGUGUUUUUAGAUAAUAUCUUUUAAUUUUUAAAAUUAUUUUUAUUUAUUGAAAAAUAAUCAUACAAAAUGCAGAAUGAUUAUGAGUAAAGUAUUACAUGUGAAACUUAUUUUUAAAAAAUAUUUAAAAACAUAAAAAAAAAAGUUAAUAACAGUUCAAGUUUCCAAACAAACUAUUAUUUUACAAAAUAUUAAAUAACAAUUUUAAAAAAUAGUUUUAAAAAAUACUUUUCGAACACAAUUUAAAUUUUUUUCUUUUUGCAUAAAAAUUCUUAUAUUUUGUAUAAGAGUUUUUAUUUUUAAAAAUAAAAAAAUAAGAAAUAUAUUCAAAGAUAUUUAAUAAACAAUAAAAUUCAAAAGAGAAAGCCUUAAAUUUUAUGUUAUUAUUGUAAAAUGAGAAUAAAUGUGACUCAAAUAAUAGUAGGGAUGACUAUGUAUUAUUUUAAUAAUAUAUAUAUAGAGGGGCGGGGGGAAGAAAUCAAAGAAAAGUGUUGAGAGAAUGAAAGAAAGAGAGAGAGAAUGAGAGGAAGAAAAUUUCUUCUUUUUCUCGGAAUGCUCUUACAUGGGGUGUAAGAACCCUUUUAUAGGAUUCAUAAGAUGAACUCCCAUUACUCAUCUUAAAGAUGAGUAAAUGGAGUUCAUAAAUGACCAUCAAUGUGGUCAUUCAUCACUUCAUUUACAACAUUUCCCCUUGGAUGACCACCAUAUUAAAAGAAUAUGUUUCAUUAAAACCUUGUUAGUAAAAAUUUUUAUAGGAAAAACCUAGUGAAGGAAAAAGAGUACAAUAUUCUUUUCUUGGUAUAUUAGGACUACCUCGUUAAAAACCUUGCCAGUAAAACCCAGUAGGACAAAACCUGGACGAAGGAAAAAAGAGUACAGUACACUAACACCCUUUUACAAGCAUACUCCCCCUCAUGUCAAUAUCCUUGAGUUGACGCAUUCCAAUCAUGUAUAUUAAUUUCUUGAAUGUUGAGGUUGACAAUGAUUUUGUGAAUAAAUCUGUUAGAUUAUCACUUGAGCGUAUUUGUUGCACAUCAUUUUCACCACUCUUCUAGAGUUCAUGUGUAUAAAAGAAUUUUGGUGAAAUGUGUUUAGUUCUAUCUCUUUUAAUAUAACCCCCUGUUAUUUGUGUAAUGCAUGUAGCAUUAUCUUCAAAUAAUAUUGUCGGGUCACCUUUGAUAGAGGAGAGUCCACAUGAUUCCCGAAUAUGUUGGAUCAUAGAUCUUAGCCUUAUACAUUCAUGACUUGCUUCAUGAAUUGCUAGUAUUUCUGAAUGAUUUGAUGAUGUGGCCACCAUUGUUUGUUUGACAUAUCUCCAUGAAAUAGCAGUACCAUUGCAAUUAAACACAUACCCUGUUUGUGACCUACCUUUAUGUGGAUCUGAAAGAUAUCCUGCAUCUGCAUAUCCAAGCAAUUGUUGCUUUGAUUCCGUUGAGUAAAAUAAACCCAUAUCAGUAGUUCCGCAAAGAUAACAUAAUAUAUGUUUGAUACCAUUCCAAUGUCUUCGAGUUGGAGUGGAAUUGUAUCUUGCUAAUAAAUUGACAGAAAAAGCAAUGUCUGGAUGUGUACAAUUGGCAAGAUACAUAAGUGCACCAAUAGCACUAAGAUAUGGUAUUUCAGGACCAAGUAACUCUUUUUUUUUUUUUCGCAAGGACGAAAUGAGUCAUUUUUCACAUCAAGUGAUUGGACAACCAUUGAAGAACUUAAAGGAUGCGCUUUAUCCAUAUAAAAACGCUUCAAAACUUUGUUAACGUAUGUUGAUUGAUGUACUAAAACUCCAUUUGGAAAAUGCUCGAUCUGCAGGCCGAGAUAAAAUUUUGUUUUUCCAAGAUCUUUCAUCUCAAAUUCCUUUUUCAAGUAAUUUGUUGUUCUUGUGAGCUCUUAAGAAGUUCCAACAAGAUUUAAGUCAUCGACAUACACUGUAAUAAUUGCAAAUCCGGUUUCUGAUUUCUUAAUGAAGAUGCAUGGGCAUGUAGGGUUAUUCACGUAUCCUUCUUUUAGCAAAUAUUCGCUAAGACGAUUGUACCAUAUGCGUCCAGAUUGCUUUAAUCCAUACAAUGAUCGUUGUAACUUGAUUGAGUACAUGCUACGAGACUUUAUACUAUUUUCUCCAGGCAAUUUAAAUCCUUUAGGGAUUUUCAUGUAUAUAUCAUUAUUCAUGGAUUCGUAUAAAUAUGUUGUAAUAACAUCCAUGAGAUGCAUAUCCAAUCCUUCUGAGACUACCAAAUUGAUUAAGAAACAAAAUGUGAUUGCAUCCAUGACGAGAUAAUAUGUUUCUUCGUAGUCAAUACCAGGUCUUUGCGAGAAACCUUGUGCUACUAAUCGCGCUUUAUAUCUUAUGAUCUCAUUAUUCUCAUUGCGCUUUCGUACAAAUACCCAUUUGUACCCAACAGGCUUUACAUCUUCAGGUGUUUAGACUACAGGUCCAAAAACUUCUUGUUUUGUUAAUGAGUUUAACUCUGCUUGUAUAGCUUCAUUCAGUUUUAGCCAAUCAUUUCUAUGUCAACAUUCUUCCACAUUUCGUAGUUCGGGAUUUUCAUCAUUUCUUUUGACUUUAGAGGCCACUUGGAAAGCAAAAAUAUUGUUAAUAACAAUAUUAUUUAAAUCCAUUUUUUCUCCCGUGUGUACAUAACUUACUGAGAUAUCACAAUUUUUAGGUACCUGUGCCUCUUCAAGGGCUUCUCGUUCAAUAUGUGCCUCUUCAAAGGCUUUUUGCAUUAUUUAUGCCUCUUCUAGGGCUAUAGAUUUAUCAAUUUUAAAUUGAUCAGUCAUUUUGAUGGCCUCUUCUAGAGUGCCAAGUUUUUCUUCGGUUCUCAUUUUCUAGGAAGUUACAUCAUUUGAGCCGACAAGUUUACCACGCUUCAGGCAUAUCUUAAAUUCAUUUGUUAACUGUCCUAUAGGGACAUCAAUCCGUGCUGGAGUAUUUGUAGUCGGGAUAUGUUACUUUGUCACUUUCUUUGUAUUAAUGAAUGCAUCUGGUAAUUGAUUUGCAAGAUUUUGCAAAUGAAUGAUCCUUUGGAAGAUGGGUCAUAGUAGAUGCCUUCCAACUAAUUUCUCAUGGUUCUUCAGGAAUCGACUUUUCUCCCCUUAAUGAUGGGAAAACACUCUCAUUAAAAUGACAAUCCGCAAAGCGGGCAGUAAAAACAUCACCUGUCAAAGGUUCAAGAUAUCUUAUGAUAGACGGAGAAUCAAAACCUACAUAAAUCCUAAGUCUUCGUUGGAAAUCCAUUUUAGUGCGUUGUGUAGGUGCAAUUGGUACAUAUACUGCACAACCAAAGAUUUGUAAGUGAGAGAUAUUUGGUUGUUUUCCAAGCACAAGUUGUGAAGGGGAAUAUUCAUGGUAAGUUGUAGGUUGAAUAUGGACUAAAGCUACAACAUGCAUAAUAACAUGUCCCUAGGUAGAAGUAGGUAAUUUGGUUUUCAUUAGUAAUGGUCGAGCUAUUAAUUGGAGACGUUUGAUGAAGGAUUCUGCUAAGCCAUUUUGGGUAUGAGUAUGAGCAACAAGAUGCUCAAUAUUUAUCCCUACUGACAUGCAAUAGUCAAUGAAUGUUUGAGAAGUAAAUUCUCCAGCAUUAUUAAGACGUAUUGUCUUAAUUGGAUAAUAUGAAAAUUGUGCUCGUAAUAUGAUUAUUUGUGCAAGGAGUCUAGCAAAGGCAACGUUACGUGUAGAAAGGAGACAAACAUGUGACCACCUAGUAGAAACAUCUAUUAAGAUCAUAAAAUAACGGAAUGGUCCACAUGGUGGAUGGAUAGGCCCACAUAUGUCCCUAUGUAUUUUUUCUAAAAAGACUGGUGACUCAGAUAUAACUUUAGUAAAAGAUGGUCUGAUUAUCAAUUUACCUUAUGAGCAGGCAACACAUGAGUAUUCAUUGGGUGAAAGAAUCUUCUAGUUCUAUAGUGGAUGUCAAUGUGAGUGUUCGAUUAUUCGACACAUCAUUGCAGACCCUGGGUGACCUAGCCUGUCAUGCUAAAGUACAAAAACUUUUGGGUCGUUGAACUUCUGGUUCACGACAACAUAUGAUUCAAUAGGCUUUAUAGUUGUAUGAUACAACCCAGAGGAGAAAGUCGGGAGUUUUUCCAUUAUAAGCUUCUGACCAGAUAUAAUGGAAGUAAUGUAAAGAUGUUCUAUAUUAUCUUCAUUCAUAGUUUCAAUAUGAUAUCCAUUUCUGCGGAUAUCUUUAAAACUAAGCAAAUUUAUUCUGGAUUUGCUAGAAUAUAAAGCAUCAUUUAUAUGAAAUCUAGUUCCAUUUGGCAACGUUAUGUUUGCUCUUCUAGAACCUUCAACUAAGUUUGUAGUACUAGAUAUGGUACUUACAUUAGCUUUUAUUAAUGUCAAUUCAAGGAAAUAUCUUUUAUCUCGAAGAAUUGUGUGCUUGGUCGCACAGUCUACGAGACACACAUCAUCCUCAUUCAUCUUGAGACCAAAUAACACAUGGAUUUCAGAUAUAACAAAAUAAAACAAGGCAUAAUGUAAAUAACAAAGUAAAUCAGAUGUAAAUAUAAGACAUAAUAAUAUAUUAUUUCAUAUAUAAAGUAACAUCAAUUAAUGUUAAUUUUCUCAUCAUUUAUCAAAUGGUCUAUUUUUUCAUUGGGACCUUCAAAGAAAUCAAUGUCAUAGUAGGUUAGGUCCAAUCCAUCACCAUCAGUAAAGUUCAUCUUUAUCUCUUUUCCUUUUGCUUUUAUUGAUGCUUGGUAAAGGUCGACUAAAUGUUUGGGCGUACGACAGGUAUGCGACCAAUGCCCCUUCAUACCACAUCUAUAACAAUUAUUCUCGUGGUUCUUAGGAGGUUUAUCUUGUAAAUGCUUCCCAUUUUCUUGUAUUGUCUCAGUAUUGUUCCAUUUCUGGUGGUGCAACGAGGCUUUCAUUUUCUGAGAAUUAUUACUAUAAGAACCAUGGUAUCGGGGAUUUUUUCCACGAUCAUGACCACGUCCAUGAAUUUGGACGAUAUUGCAUUCACUUUAAGGAAUGGUUCAGAUCCAGUUGGACGAGAUUGAUGAUUUCUCAUUAAAAGCUCAUUAUUUUGUUUAGUAACAAGAAGACAUGAUAUUAAUUCAGAAUAUUUUGUAAAUCUACACUUUCUAUAUUGCUGUUGCAGGAGCACAUUCGAGGCAUGAAACGUAGUAAAAGUUUUCUCUAACAUGUCUUCUUCUAUGAUUUUUUCUCCAUGUAGCUUUAAUUGAGAGCUGAUUUUGAAAAGUGCGGAGUUGUAUUCACUAAUAGUUUUAAAAUCUUGCGACCUUAGGUGCAUCCAAUCAUAUCAAGCUUUUGGGAGAAUCACAGUUUUCUGGUGGUCAUAUCUUUCCUUCAAAUUACUCCAUAGAGUAAAAAAGUCCUUUACCGUAAAAUACUCAUUUUUUAAACCUUCAUGGAGGUGAUGACGAAGGAAAAUCAAUGCUUUUGCGCGAUCCUGCAGGGAUGCUUGAUUUCCUUCUUUGAUUGUAGCUCCAAGGUUUAUUGCAUCAAGAUGUAAUUCAACAUCAAGGAUCCAAGAUAGAUAAUUCUUUCCCGAAAUGUCAAGUGCCACAAAUUUGAGUUUUGUGAUAUUCGACAUUGUCAAAUAACUUCAUAUAUAUGACAAAACAAUAUUAUUAGAAUCAAUUAUAAUAACUUAAUAGCAUUGGUAUAACUUUGAUUAUAAACAAAAUCAAAUAAUUUGUUUAUAAUUUUUAACAAUAUGUAACAAAACAAAUCAACAAUAAUAUAAAUAUGUAAAAUUUUAUCCUAUAUAAAUAACUUCAAGUUUAAGAUACGAGAAUUACCUUCAGAACAAUUCGUGCUAAUAAUGUGUUGUAAAAAGAGAAUAAAUGUGACUCAGAUAAUAGUAGGGAUGACUAUGUAUUACUUUAAUAAUAUAUAUAUAUAUAUAAAGGGGGAGGGGGGGAAGAAAUCAAAGAGAAGUGUUGAGAGAAUGAAAGAAAGAGAGAGAGAGAGAGAAUGAGAGGAAGAGAAUUUUUUUUUUCUCGAGAUGCUCUUACAUGGGGUGUAAGAAGCCUUUUAUAGGCUUUAUAAUAUAAACUCCCAUUACUCAUUUUAAAGAUGAGUAAAUGGAGUUCAUAAAUGACCAUCAAUGUGGUCAUUCAUCACUUCAUUUACAACAGUUAUUAAUUUGUUGUAUUACUUAGAGGGGGUGAAUGAAUUGAAAGCACUAUGGAGGUAAGCUUUUUAGUUUUUUCACCUUAUCCUCUUUAUACAUAAUGUCUCCAUCAAUGAUGUUCAGUAUAUUCCUUAUUUUUGUUUUACUUAAGUGUUCUUGUAUUGUAGCCCUCUCAAGACUCUUCCUCUUCACUCCAAACAAGUUAAUUGUCUUCAUAUCAAAGUAACAUAAGUUGAUUUUCUUAUAGGGCUAAUGCUACUUAUGUGAUUAUUUUCUUUACAAAAGUUGCAAAUAAUAUUUGAGGAUUCCUUGACAAAAUAAUUUUUAAAUUUUUAUUUUUUUAUUUUUUUUAUUUUUAUAGAGCUUGUAUCCUAAUCCCUUUAUUGCAAAGAUUAUUUUUUUACUUGCCAAAAUUAUCAAAAUUCUUGUCCCCAUUUGAGAAUUUUGAAAGAGAAGAGAUUAACUAAUGAAUUUUCUUUUCAAGUAAGUAUAUAUUUUAUUCCAAGGAAAACCUUAGCCUUUUUUAGAUAUUUUAAACUCCCCUUUUAAGUCAUUAAUUUCAACUUGAAGAGAGAUGAUUUUCUUUUUAAGAUAAGCCUGAAAGUUAUUUGAUCUAGUUUAGGUAACACCUAGAGGAGUUGAAUGGUGUUUAAACUUUUCUGCUCAAAAAUGAAUUAUUUUAUAUUCAUAUAACAAACAUUUUUUCAAUUUAGGAAAGCCUAAAAACACUCAAUACAAAAACAUAAGAUUUUUAUAUGGAAAACCACCCAUAUCAUGUGCGGAUGUAAAAACGACAAGGUCAGACUUUUAAUCAUUAAUAAACUAUUUGAAAGUAUUAUACAUGGUUUUAGUUGGUGGAAGCUAUCGUUAAGUCUUACUACCCAACACCUACAAUGCACUUCACAUUUGCGAUAUAGCACUACGUGUGCUCUUAGUGGAUCUAACCUCAGUGUUUGAGAGGAUGUAGAUCUCCUUUUCAAUCCAACAUAAGCGAAAACAACAUUCCUUGAGAGUUUUAGGAAUAAGAUGACGAAUUUGGUUUUUCAAAAAAUUUGCAUCAAACCAAAAACCUUUUUAGGUAAAACAUUUAUAGGCAUAAGAAGCUGGCAGACUGGAUCUAAAAUUUUCCAAAAUAAGACCUUAAAAAAAAUUAGAAAAUCAAAGUUCCAAAAAUUUUGGAGAAUUCUAUCAUGGGUGUUUGAGUGCUCAUGGGAGCACUUGAGUGCUUAAGGAGAUUUUUUAAACUUUUUAAAAAUUCUUUUAGCUUGGUUUUAAAACCAUUAGUUCGCACCAUGCCUUAACAAACACCAAUUUGUCAUUCUUGAACCUUUUGAUUUUUACUUGUGCCAUCCUGAUUGAUCACAUAACAACUUUGAGUCUUCAAUGAAGAGUAAAACACAAUUUAGAAAGAUUCUAAACUAGAAUGAAAGGAAUUAUAUAGCCUAAUAUACCAACAAUCUUCUCCUAUGAUAAUUUUAUGAAAAAAAAUACAAAUUACAUAAACCCCCUAAUACUCUUCAAUGGAGUUUAAGAAUCUCUCAAUAACUCUCGUCUAAACCAAAUCAUUCUUGAACAUGCAGAUGAUGAUAAAUCACAUCUAAAAGUGGGCAAUACCCCACUACUUGUGACCUGCACACACAAACCAACCAAGUACUCAAGUAAAACAAUGUGUGAGAGAAAACACAACUCAUAAAUUCUAUCAAAUCAAGGUAAGAGUAGAUGGAUGUGAGUCAUGCAUACAAUGGAUAUCUAAUCAAUAGUAUCAAUAAAUUGUCUCCCCAUUUUUGUCGCAAAAAUGACAAAGAAGGAAUAAACAAUGAAUGCACAUAAGAGAAAGAGAAACAAUUAAGCAAAAGAACUUCAACUUAUUUUUAGAAUGCUUCUUUCUUGGUAAGAUCUCUUAAGAAACCCUUCUUGAAAAUAGUUUUUUUUUUUUUGUUUUGUUUUUUAUGAUGGAAAAUUGUUUUCUACCUUAAAAACUAUAUUUGGUAAAAUUUCACUAAAAUAAUUUUUUGAAAAUAGGUUUUUUUUUUGGAACAAACGCUUUUAAAUAUAUAUAUAUAUAUAUAUAUAUAUAUAUAUAUAUAUAUAUAUAUAUAUAUAUAUAUAUAUAUAUAUAUAUAUAUAUAUAUAUAUAUAUAUAUAUAUUGUAGAAUAUUUCAAGAAAUAGUUGAAAAUAUGAAAAAUGUUUCAAGAACCUUUGUAUCUUAGAUUUGUGCACUUCAGUUUCAUGAAUAAUAUUAAACUAAGAAAACUGUUAUUUAUAUAUUAAUUUCUAAAUAAAAUUUUGUUGCUGGAAAUAAUUAAAAUUUAUUUUAAAAAACUAUUUUCAAGAAUUAUUUUUGAAAACGUUGCUAAAAAGACAAAAGUCCUUGGUCAUUUUUUUUUCUUUUAUAUUUUUAUCUUUAUCUAAGAGGCCGGUCUUUUUUUUUUUUUAAUGUUCCAUAAUCCUUGUGAAAUUGUAACGUGUAAUUCAUUUAUUUGACUUCAAAAGUUAAGAAAUAAUGAACCUUUCAUUAUUGUAGUUUGUCUUGUAGUAAGAGACUUAAAAAUCCACGUACAAGAUGUCUUUCUUUCUUAAGUCAAGUCAACAAAAUGGAGGUGGAAGAAAUAAUGAACUUUCAUUAUUGUAGUUUGUCUUGCUAAAAGCUAUGUAUAACGGGUCUUCGUAAGUCAAAUCAAUAAUCAAAUUAAAAGAAAUAAUAAACUUCCAUUAUUCUAUUUUAGAGACUUAAAAAGCCAUAUAUAACGGGUCUUCUUUUCUUAAGUCAAGUCAAUAAAAUAAAAGUAGAAGAAAUAAUGAACUUUCAUUAUUGUAGUUUGUCUUGCUAAAAGCCAUGUAUAACGGGUCUUCGUAAGUCAAAUCAAUAAAUCAAAUUAAAAGAAAUAAUAAACUUUCAUUAUUGUAUUUUAUCUUGUAGCGAGAGACUUAAAAAGCCAUGUAUAACGGGUCAUCUUUUCUUAAGUCAAGUUAAUAAAUCAAAUUAAAAGAAAUAAUAAACUUUUAUUAUUGUAUUUUAUAUUGUAGCAAGAAACUUAAAAAGCCAUGUAUAAUGGGUCUUCUUUUCUUAAGUCAAGUCAAUAAAUCAAAUUAAAAGAAAUAAUAAACUUUUAUUAUUGUAUUUUAUCUUGUAGCGAGAGACUUAAAAAGCCAUAUAUAACGGGUCAUCUUUUCUUAAGUCAAGUCAAUAAAUCAAAUUAAAAGAAAUAAUAAACUUUUAUUAUUAUAUUUUAUAUUGUAGCAAGAGACUUAAAAAACCAUGUAUAAUGGGUCAUCUUUUCUUAAGUCAAGUCAAUAAAUCAAAUUAAAAGAAAUAAUAAAUUUUUAUUAUUGUAUUUUAUAUUGUAGCAAGAGACUUAAAAAGUCAUGUAUAAUGGGUCUUCUUUUCUUAAGUCAAGUCAAUAAAUCAAAUUAAAAGAAAUAAUGAACUUUUAUUAUUGUAUUUUAUAUUGUAGCAAGAGACUUAAAAAACCAUAUAUAACGGGUCUUCUUUUCUUAAGUCAAGUCAAUAAAUCGAAUUGGAAGUUUUUCCUUUUUUUUUUUUUUUAAACCAACUUCUACUAUUACUUUUAUUAGUUAUUUUGAUCAUUUGAUUAAAUAUUGAAUUAUUAUUAUUUUUUUAAAAUUUUCAAGUACAAACCAUUUCAUGUUAAAAAAUUUAAAGUGGAUCUAACUUUCUUUACAAGUUAAGAUAUCUUGAUUAAAGGAUAAAUAAUGGAUUGUAAUAUUUCAACUUUAAUUAAGUUAAUUUAUCAAUAUUCAAACUAAGUUGGAGAAAAAAAAAAGACAACACCUCAAUUUUAGUUUUCCAUUACACAUGGUUAUUUCUUUUUCUUCUUUUUCUUUUGCUUAUUUGACACACAAUGGCAGCUCUAGUCAUCAUACCUUUCAAGACUCUAAACUCACACAAAUUUUCAAUCUUUUCAUCAUAUCUUUUAAAAUUCUUGUCACUCAUAAAGUAUUUAAGACUUAAUUUUAAUAAAUUCAUAUUUUUAUAACUAUAACUAAGAGCUUUGACCUAUUAAAAAAUGAAUCAAAAAUCGUUUGCAAGACAUUAAAAUUUCAUAAUUAUUUCUUUUACCUUAAAUGUAGUUGUUAUGUGUUUGCUAGUUCACAUAUUUGCAAUAUACCCUAGGAUGGUUGAGCUAUGUAACAUGCUUCUCGGAAUCAAUUCAUUCGGUUUUUUUUUUUUCCUUUUCCCUUUUGGUUCUACUCAUUUUAAUGUAAAGAAGAACCAAAACAUAUUCACUAGUUGAUUUUACCCUUGGUUGCACAACUAACCAUAUGGAGUCUAGACUUGAAAAUUUUAUGCAUUUUGGGUCUAACAAGUUAUGAUACUUAGACCUAGCAUUACAUGUGAAAGAAAACAAAAAAGUAAUAAUAAAAAUAUAAUUCUCAUUGGAAAAUUAAAAUUGUUAUGAAAUAUUUUAUUUUCUCAUAUGUUGUUUAGAUAUUGAUGGAUUGACUUGUUAAUUAAAGUUGAAAUAUUCUAAUAUUUUUCUGUCAUCAAGGUGUCUUAUGUGGUGACUCAAAAAUAGUAUUAAUAAAUGAUAAAAGAGAUUGUUGCUAAUCUUCAAAAUUAUAAAAAGUUUAUACACUUUGCUAGUCUUCAAAAUUAUAAAGCGUUUAUACUUUAAAAAAACAAAAUAAAUAAACAUUAGUCUAUAUUGAAUGUGUUAAUAUGAAGUACAUUGUAGCUAUAAUUUUUUAAAGGAUUAAAGAAAAAAACCAUUCAAUAUUUUGCUAGGUAUAAAAAAUCUUAUUUAUUACAAAUUAUUUUGUAGAUGAUGAAUCAUUGAUGAAGAUAGGCUAAGGAAUUUAUAAAAGGUAAAAAGUAAUUAUUCAUAUAAAUGAAAAGUGAAGGUUAUAUUUGUUAAGUAUCUUUAAAAGGGGAUUUCAAAACAUUACUUUCUCUAAUAAUAAUAAUGUAAACUCAAAAUAUAUGUAAAUGAAAAUAAAAAAUAGUAUUUUUAUAAACUUAAAAAUAAUAUAUUUGUUUUUUUAAAUAUUUUUAGUCAUAAUUAAAGGUCAUCAUAUCUGUCAAAAAUUUAUCUUUAUAUUAUUUAUUUUAAAAAUGAUUAUUCAUUAAGAAUCAUUUUGAUAAAAGGUAAAAAAUAAUUACCAUAUAAAUUAAAAGUGGAGGUUAUAUUUGUUAAUUAUUUAUAAAAGGGGAUUUCAAAACAUUACCUUCUCCAAAAAUAACAAUAAUAAUAAUAUAAACACAAUAUUGACUCAAAAUAUUAUGUAAAUGAAAAACUUAAAAAUAAUAUAUAUUUGUUUUUUUUUUUUUAAUAUUUUUAGUCAUAAUUAAACUUCAUCUACUCAUCACGUUUGUGGGAAUGGUAUAUAAGUCAAUGCCUGCUUUGCUCAGAAAUCAAAAACCAAAACUUGUUAAUCCUUGUUAUUACACACUAUCCUUGCUCUGUGUUGAACAUGGGUACAAGCCCCUUUCGAUAUUUUAUUUCCUUUUUUCUGCUUAUGCUAUGUUUUGAAGCCUGUUUGAGGGUGGGUGAUGCUAAAGUUGGGUGCAGAGAGAGGGAAAGGCAAGCACUCCUUCACUUCAAACAAGGUGUUGUGGAUGAUUUUGGAAUGCUUUCUUCUUGGGGGAAUGGGGAAGACAAAAGAGAUUGUUGCAAAUGGAGAGGAGUCGAGUGUGACAACCAGACGGGUCAUGUGAUCGUGCUUGAUCCUCAUGCUCCGUUUGAUGGAUAUUUGGGAGGUAAGAUUGGUCCUUCAUUGGCAGAGUUGCAGCACUUGAAGCAUUUGAACCUCAGCUGGAAUGAUUUUGAAGGUAAUUAUAUACAUAUAUACCUUGUGAAAAUUCAUCAAUUUGUCUCAGCAGAAUAUAAUUCUCUAUUUUUCCAAUUUUACAGGAAUUCUUCCCACUCAACUCGGAAAUCUUUCCAACUUGCAAUCCCUUGAUCUCGGCCAUAGUUUUGGGUUUAUGACCUGUGGAAACCUUGAGUGGCUUUCUCACCUUCCUUUGUUAACACACCUUGACUUGAGUGGGGUUCAUCUUAGUAAAGCAAUCCAUUGGCCACAAGCAAUUAAUAAAAUGCCUUCCCUAACUGAGUUGUACUUGAGUUAUACUCAGCUUCCUCCGAUUAUUCCAACAAUAUCCAUUUCCCAUAUUAAUUCCUCCACUUCUCUUGCUGUGCUUGAUCUCUCCGUGAAUGGUCUCACUUCUUCAAUAUACCCAUGGUUGUUCAACUUCAGUAGCAGCCUUGUUCAUCUUGACCUCUCUAUGAAUGAUCUAAAUGGUUCAAUUCCGGAUGCUUUUGGAAACAUGACUACUCUGGCAUAUCUUGGUCUCUAUGGGAACGAGCUACGUGGUUCAAUUCCGGAUGCUUUUGGAAACAUGACUAGUCUGGCAUAUCUUUAUCUCUCUUCAAAUCAGCUUGAAGGUGAGAUUCCGAAAUCCUUGAGAGAUUUAUGUAAUUUACAGAUACUAUACUUGUCUCAGAACAAUCUCACUGGACUGUUGGAAAAAGAUUUUCUGGCCUGCUCUAAUAACACAUUAGAGGUUUUAGAUUUAUCUCAUAAUCAAUUCAAAGGGUCAUUUCCCUGGCUUUCAGGAUUUUCACAGUUGAGAGAAUUAUAUCUUGAAUUCAAUCACCUAAAUGGAACUUUACCUGAAAGUAUUGGACAACUGGCUCAACUUGAAGUGUUGUCCAUUCGUUCAAAUUCAUUGCGAGGCACUGUCUUGGCAAACUACCUUUUUGGUCUCUCCAACCUGUCUGUCUUAGACUUAUCUUUCAACUCCCUUACAUUCAACAUAAGCCCUGAGCAAGUUCCCCAGUUUCAAGCCUCUCGUAUAAUGUUGGCCUCUUGCAAAUUAGGACCACAUUUUCCUAAUUGGCUUCAAACUCAAAAAUAUUUGUUGGACCUUGAUAUCUCUGCUUCUGGAAUUUCUGAUGUCAUUCCCAGUUGGUUUUGGAAUUUAAAUUCAGGUUUAGCAUGGUUAAACAUUUCCAACAAUCACAUCUCAGGCACUUUGCCAAAUUUACAAGGAAUAUUUUAUUUGGGAAUGUGGGAUAUGAGUUCAAAUUGCUUGGAAGGUUCAAUACCACAAUUUCUUUUCAAUAAUGAAUGGUUGUAUCUCUCCAAGAACAUGUUUUCAGGCUCAAUUUCUUUAUCUUGCCGGAUUGCUAAUCUGUCUGGUUCGGGUUUGUCCCAUCUUGAUCUCUCAAAUAAUCGACUGUCAGGAGAACUACCCAAAUGUUGGGAGCAGUGGAAACAUCUAAUUGUUCUUAAUUUGGCAAAUAAUAAUUUUUCUGGGAAAAUUAAAAAUUCAAUUGGCUUGUUAUAUCGGAUUCAAACAUUGCAUUUACGCAACAAUAGUUUAACCGGAGCAUUGCCUUUGUCCUUAAAGAACUGCAAAGAUUUGUGUCUUGUAGAUUUUGGAAGAAAUAAAUUAUCAGGCAAAAUACCUGCAUGGAUGGGAAGAAGCCUAUCAAGUUUGAUUGUUCUCAACCUAAGAUCCAAUGAAUUUAAUGGAGGCAUACCUUUAAAUCUAUGUCAAUUGAAAAAUAUUCAAAUGUUGGACCUCUCAAACAACAAUCUAUCUGGUACUAUACCAAAAUGUCUCAACAAUUUAAGUGCCUUAACUCAAAAAGGGAGUUUGGUCAUUUCUUAUUAUGAAGGAGAGUUGAAUGGUUGGAAGCUCUCCUAUCUUGAUAAUACAUUGGUUCAAUGGAAAGGAAAAGAACUAGAGUACACUAAAACUCUUGGACUUGUGAAGAGCAUUGAUUUUUCGAAUAACAAGUUAAUAGGAGAAAUUCCGUCAGAAGUAACUGAUUUGGUAGAAUUGGUGUCAUUGAACUUAUCAAGAAACGAUUUGAUUGGACCAAUCCCUGCAACCAUUGGUCAAUUGAAAUUAUUAGAUUCUCUUGAUCUAUCUCAAAACCAGCUUAAUGGUAGAAUUCCAGAUAGUCUUUCUCAAAUAGCUGGUCUAAGUGUUUUAGACCUAUCAAAUAACACCUUGUCAGGUAAAAUUCCAUUAGGCACUCAAUUACAGAGCUUUAAUACCUCCACAUACGAGGGAAAUCCUGAACUUUGUGGGCUACCUCUUUUGAAAAAGUGUCCAAAAGAUGAACCUGGGGAAGCCUCCUUCAUUGGUUUUAGUAGUAAAACAGAGGAUAUUCAAGAUGAUGCAAAUAAUAUAUGGUUUUAUGGAAAUAUCGUUCUUGGAUUCAUCGUCGGAUUUUGGGGAGUUUGUGGCACUUUACUACUCAAUAGUUCAUGGAGAUAUGCCUAUUUCAAGUUCUUGAACAAGAUAAAAGACCGAGUGUAUGUGACAACAACAAUAAAUAUGAAUAGACUAUGGAGGAGCUUCCAAAUUUAAAUGGUAAGAUUUCUCAAAUUCUCUCCUUAGUCUUUUUAAUAAAUUAUAUUACCUUAGUAGCCUCUUUCUAUUAUUGCUCAAAUCCCUAUUCUAUUAAUUAACUUACCUUCCACAACUUAUGGAGAUAAAAUAAGAUUUUUCAAAUAAAAAUAUCAUAUUUUAUUUGAUUAGAUGUGAAAUUCAACUAUAACUAAGGAAGCCUUGAAUAUUUUGAUAUACCAAAUAUAACAACACCACAUUUUUAGUUCUCAUUGUACAUAUAGAUAAAUGUUAUGGCUUGAGAAUCAUAGUUGAAAAAUUAUAAUUAUCACUAUUUUUUUCUCAUCUUGCUUUUACUUACAGUUGUACCUUUUGCUGAAGUUCAGUCAACUUGCUUUAAGAAUAUUUGAGGUUUUAUUGUAAGAAGCAUACUACCAUACUUUCCUUUAUAUUAAUCAAGAAAAGUAAAUUUGCUUCUAUUGAAGACAUUUUUUUCAAAUUGAUGAAUAUUAUUUCAUUUGUUGUAUUGCAGAACUUCAAUUGGGUUGCAUCUCAAGGAUUAGUAGGUAAUAUAUGCUUGUGAGUAAUGAGUUUAUUUAGUAUUGGACAGCCUGAAUGUAAGAGCAUUUGUGUUUAUUGAACUCAUCAUCUUAUAAAUAACUUUGGCGUGUAUUAAGUUUGUUUAUUUGAUAAUAGGCGUGGCUUAAGUUUCUUAUGUUAUGCUCUAUUUAGAGCGAAUCAAAUAUAUUAGAGGAUGAUAUCAAGUCCUUUGUGGUGCAAUGCUAGAAACUACUUCGCUUUAAAAAAAACGUUUUCUUUUGCUCAAAAACCAGUAGCAACUAAAGCCAUAAUUUAAAAUGGGACAUGGUAAGACUAAGAACAGAAACUGAGCACUCUGUUUUUCUGGUGCCCAAGCAUGGAAGUUAUUAUAAUAAAAAGAAACAGCUGGUCAGAAUAAAACAAAAUUCAAAACAUGGUGUUUCUCACAAUGCAUAUUGAGGCUUCAUCCACUGAUAUUCCACAACAGAUUAACCGUCAAAAACCCUUAUGUUGAGUAGGAGAAAAGAAGCUCCAUACUUCUCAGGACAUACAGAACAACACCUUGGGUAGAGACCUUGACCAUGCUUGCAGAAAUGUGUUUUUGGAGCAGCAAUCCGAAGUAUAGGAGGCUUCAUAUUUGGGAACACUCCUCAUUCAAUGUAUCAUUGUGACUGAGAUGACUACAUAUUGAGGUUUGAUCAGUUCUAGGAAGGUGACUGGUUAUCAUAAAGCAUUUACCAACCAUUCUUGAAUACAUACUUAUGUGAUUUAGCAGGAUGGAACUGCAACUAGUCAUUAAUUAAGCAACAAAAAUGGCUGUGGUAAGAUUCUGAGACAUUGAUUGUAUAUUCCAUUGUUUUUUAUUUGAGGUUAAAUUCGGCUUUUGUUUUUUUUACUUUUUAAUUCUCUACUGCUUACAUGCCUCUUGUAUCUGAAGAGGCUAAUUGUUCAUGCGGUUGAAUUUUGCAACAUUUUCUUAUUGUUCGGGGCUUAAGCUUCUGUUCAUUUUUUCAUUAUUAUGUUUUUGUGCUUUGUUUUUUAUGACUAAUCCCAUGCCACAUAGUGAAGUGUUCACAGAGAAUGACUGGAAAUUUGUCCAGCUUGGGCUUGCUCUAUUUUAGAACAUUUUAGCCAUUCAAGACAUCUCGUUGCAGUAGAAGGCUGGGAGUCUGCACGCCACUCAAUUUUUAUCUCUGAGUAACCAAUUUUUGGUGCUGUUAUUCUUCAUUGAUUUAGAAGAUGAGCUGUUAUUUUUGGGGAUAUCUGUGUUAUAAUACACAAUAGUAUGCAUUGGGAUAUGCUACUACUGAAAACAGAACAAUCUGUUUUUGUGGCGUCCAAGCAUAAAAGCUAUUGUCACACAGCGAGGUCUGAUUUCCAACUGUGAAUCAAAUUGCUCGAGGUACUUCAUAUGCAGAUCGCUGCAAGUGGCUUUGGCCAUCAAUCUCCUUCAGGGGAUGAUAAUAUUGAGAUUGCAGUGAAGGUUUGGGUGUUUGUCACAAUGCCUGUUGAAGCGUCAUCAGAUGAUAUUUAGUCAUCAGAUGAUAUUUAAUGACAGAUAGGGUAUCUGUGGGGUUGAAAUCUCAUUACAUGCGGCAACACAGUUCUUGAUAUUUAAUGACAGAACGGUAAGCGAACUUUAUAUGUAGUUUUUUCCCUUCUCAUGGGUUCAUUUGUAAGUGUCCCAAUUUUCAAACAGAUGAAUAAUGGAUGGUGAAAGUGUCCUACACAUCAUAGAACAAAGAACAAGGAACAAGGAUCAGGAGUUCCCUUUACCUCUUGGGAUCUGUGUUGACACAUCCAUCUCAAAUUUCACUACUUGCAUUUUCUUUUGGGAAGUUUUUAUUGAGGACAGAAUAAUAAAUUAGCAUAUAGCUCUGUGAUAUCUGUCUAACCAUGCUGGCUUUUCCAUUUUGCAGAUUUGCAUGCUAGAUUUAGUGCUUAAACUAUCACUGGAAGAUUCUAAAGAGCCUCAAACAGCCCACAUCCUUCUUUAAAAGUUAGAUUUAUGAUCAGACUGAUCAAGGGUUGACUCAUUUUCUCUUGAAUCUGAUCAAAUCCUUCGACUCUCAUACUAACCCAAAAGGUUUCCCCUUUCAUUUCAACAACUUAGAAGUUCAUUGUUGAUGAUGAUGUUGCUGUUAUAUUCAUUAUUAUUACAACUAAUUUGAUAAGCAAUUAUUGUUAUUAUUUUUCUUUAUCUUAUAACACAAUCAUAUGAUAAAUGGAAUAUAAUGUCAUGACUGCAUUGAAAUUCUUGACCAAACAGAAAAAUGGGAAAUUUUGCUGUCUAUUUUAAAGCAUUGUAAUCAAUAUAGGGUAUCAUGAUGAUGAAUCAAGUCAACCUUGCCCCUACACUUUUGUGGUUGUGAAUGCAUUGAAAGAAAGUAAUAAUUCAGUCUGUGAAUCAAACAGGCCAUUAGUUCUUCGAAAGACUGAUACUCGAGAUGAAUGGGAAUUUGAGGCUGUAAGGCUGGGACGAUGAUGUAAACGGCACUCGCCAAUGGGUUCCUGAAUGGUCUGCAGUUUCUAAUCCAUGUGAUAUUGCUGGGGCUUGCCCUGUGUAGCUUGGACUGAAGCAAAACUAAUGCCUCCAGCAUGUACAUGCCUGCUGGGGGCUUCUAAUGUGGGAGACGGCGGCCAGUGCUCAGAGAAUUCUUCGGUGUCAACCGCGAGAUGUGAUAAUAAUCAUCGGAAUUCGACUGCUUCCAAGCUGAAGAUGUCGAUAGUGCAGCAAACUAAGUACUAUUAUCUCAUUUUUCCGAUUAUAGCAAAUUACAGUAACAUCUCGCCAUUAUCACAGUGCGGUGAUGCUUGUUUAUCAGACUGUGAUUGUGCUGCUUCCGUGUUGGCUGCUAAACAACUUGGAGUUUGGUGGAUUCGAGGACACGAGUUCGACCUUGUUUGUGAAGGUUGGGCCUAAGGGAUCACCUGGAGGCAACGCAACAGGAUUUGGGGAUUCAUCUGAUGGCCUCUGAGACAAGGUCUUAGUUCUUCCAAUUGUUCUCAGCAUGACUGUCCUUGUAGGACGACUCUGCUUCUUGUUAUACCACAGUGUGUACAGGAGGAGGGCCUUGAAGAGAGCCCUGGAAAGCCCCUUGAUUGUGUCCGGCGCUCCAAUAAAUUUCAGUUACUGUGAUUUGCAGUGCAGAACCGGCAAUUUGCACAGGUCAGCAUGUACAUAUACAUAUAUAGACUUUGAAAAGGAUGAAAUUGCUUGAACAAAGCCAAUUAGACUUGAUCAAUGAGGAUUAAUGUUGUCUUCUUUUUUUUUUUUUUUUUCAUGAGAGUUUGGGAGUGUAUACAAGAUGGGACAUUGGUUGCAGUGAAGAAGCUUGACAAGCCUCUUGGGAAGAAGGAAUUCAUAACUGAAGUGAAAACUAUUGGCUCUAUGCAUCACAUGAACCUGGUUCAACUCUGCGGCUACUGCUCAGAAGGCUCUCACCAGUAUGCAUUUCAUUUCAUUGCCUAAUACCAAUUACCACUAACCAUAUUUAAAUUCUUAUCAUCCUCUUUGGGGGUCAAGCAUACUAUAUCUUCGAGCUUGUAAUGGGGUUGGAAUUUGAUGAUUCUUCACAGGCUUCUGGUUUAUGAGUUCAUGAAAAACGGUUUCUUGGACAAGUGGAUAUUUCCCUCAAAGCAUUGUCGGGACAGACUGCUAGAUUGGGGAACUCGCUUCCAUAUAGCCAUUGCUACUGCACAAGGUAUUGCUUAUUUUCAUGAGCAGUGCAGGAACCGGAUCAUCCACUGUGAUAUCAAGCCCGAAAACAUACUUCUAGAUGAGAAUUUCUAUCCAAAAGUUUCAGACUUUGGACUAGCAAAGCUGAUGGGCAGAGAGCAUUGACAUGUAAUCACUAUGGUGAGAAGAACUAGUGGUUAUUUGGCUCCAGAAUGGGUGAGCAACCGACUUGUUACUGUAAAAGCCGAUGUCUACAGUACAGAUAGCUUCUUUUGGAGAUCGUUGGUGGCUGGAGAAACCUUGACAUGACUUUUGAUGAAGAAGACUUCUUCAAUCCUGGGUGGGCUUUUAAGGUAUAGAUCAGUCAAGUUCUUGCUUUUGUAAAUCACAAAUUGUUAAGUGUUUGAUAUUUUAUUAACAAAAAUGUCAAUUCCUCUAGGAAAUGAGUAAUGGGACGACGAGAAAAGUUGCAGACAGGCGAUCGACUGGAAGGGGCAAUGGAGGAAGAAGAGCUGGAAGAGCAUUGAAAACCGGCUUUUGGUGCAUUCAAGAUGAGGCUUUCAUGAGGCCUUCAACGGGGGAAGUGGUGAAGAUGUUGGAAGGAUCACUUGAAAUCAACACACCGCCAAUGCCACAGACAGUGCUGUAGCCCAUGGACGAAGGCCUAGACAAUGUAUACAGAGCCAUGAAGAGAGAGUUCAACCAGUCCAGCUUCAUCACCAUCAAUAGUACCCAUCCUUCAUCAAGGGCUACAUGUAGUUAUUCCACAAUGUCACCAAGAUAGCAAAGGAGAAAUGGAACAAAUUUUGUUGCUGUCCAAGAAUUUUAUCCCCAUGAUACUUUGAUACUGUCCAGAAACAUAGUAUUUAUUGACCAUUUGUUAAACUAGUAGAGAACUUUGCAUAAUGUUGUUGCUAAGAUUUCAAAUGGUAAAAGAAAUUAUAUUAAUUGCGAAACAAAAACAUAAACAAUUAGGUUGAGGUACGGAAAUCUCGUUCUUUUAAAGGAGAUUUAAGCCAUUUCUAGUUUGACAAUUUCAGAAAUCGGUAUACUUGACUUCUCUUUGGUUUGUCCCCUCAAGGAUACAAUGGUCCAAGUGAUUUGUUGCAUAGCUCACGUCAAUAUGCAUAAAGCAUAGAACUCAAAGCUAGCGGUUCACAAACAAACCUAUUUUUUUUGGCCAAGAGAAAAUAAAUAAAUAAAAAGGAAGAAGGCAGAAGAUGACUAAAAAAAUGUGUUAAAGUUAUAUGACAUUAGGAGGGUGAGUCAAGGCUAAUCAUAAAGUUUGAAAUGUUCAACAAUUUCAAAAUAAUUCAAUCUCGAUAAAUCCCAUUAACAUAAAUGAUAUUUAAUAUUUUUUAAUUUCCAUAAUUUUACAUUUGUAACUACAAAUUUAAUAACCCAUUAUGCCAACUUUAAUCCCUAUAACUUUCAUAUAUAACCACAACGUUAGUAACUAGUUUCUUUAAUCCCAAAUCUCCAUUUUUUUGAACUUUUAAAAACUUUUUUGGACCUCAUAUGACUUAGAUAUUGAUUUGAUAGGUUAAUUAUGCUUAGGGGGUGUUCAAUUGAUGCUUGAAAAAAAUCAAAAUAAAAAAAGACUAAGAAAUGAGUAAGGAUACAAAGCAUGUCAAAAUAUGAUAUCCCACAUCGGAUAUGGAAGAAAGUUCUUGACACUAUAUAUGUAGAGACUCCUCUUAAUUAUGUAAACGUGUCUUAAAACCAUGAGGGUCCCUUUGGGUUUAAAGCGAACAAUAUCUAUACUACGAAAAAUGUGAUGAAUUCUCGCAUUCUUCAUACCCUCCUCCACUUCUUUGAACUUUAAAAAAAAAAAUUGAACAUCAUAUGAUUUUGAUAUUGAUUAAAUAGGUUAAUUACACUUGGUGGGUAUGAGAUUAAUGCCCGAAAGAAUUGAAAUCGAAAAUUUAAAAAAAAUUUUGAGGAUUCCUCACACUCUUCAUACCUUAUCAAAUUUCCACUUCUUUCAAUUUUUGAAAUCUUUUUUGAAUGUCAUAUGGAUUGAAUAUUGAUUAAAUAAGUUAAUUUAGAAGGUGUGAAAUUGAUGUCUGAAAAAAUCAAAAUCCAAAAAUAUUAAAAAAUUAGCAAAGAGUGUGGAAUUCCUUAUUGCUACUAAUUAUAUUAUUAUUAUUAUUUUGUAUUUUCAAUACUUCAACCAAUAUUUGAUGUGAUUAAAUUUAAAAUGUAAGAAAGAAUUUAUUAAUACAAUUUUCAAUUAAUAAUUAGUACACAACUAUCUUAAUUUUUAAACAUUGUAUACUUAUUUAAAUUUAUUUUCAUAUUUUUAUAAAAGUGUAAUUACACUUACAAUUUAUUGAAAUUUUUGUAAAGCUCCUGAGACGUAAAGGUUAUAUCACGAUACUGAAUUCUGCUAUGCUCGCCUUUCAAGCUCUGAUGCUCCACGCCUGCAGCUCCGUUCUUUGCAACUGAAAUACACCAUUAGCUAUGUCCGCCUGUGAUUAAUGCUCUUGCCA
rnacentral:lncRNA from 1 species